rnacentral:lncRNA from 1 species
CACAAAUCCAAUACCUGUAAUUUUUCAAGCUUUAUUGUUUCCCAACAACAUUGAUCCACCAUAUUGAUCAUAUAAUUCCUCAAACACGUAUUUGUUUGAGUCAUUUGUCAAGUACACCCUGAAUCUAUAAUCAACUCCUAGCUAGAGUCGCUGCUUGAAACGACCAGGACAUCAUAUGAUUGAUAAGCAUCUUGUACAAUGGUUGCAUUACCAUUAUACUUUCCACCAUGAUUAUUCAGUCGAUCAGAGGACACCUUUCUUGUGUUACUUCUCUUUCUUACAUUGGUAACACCUAAUAGCAGGAACAUUACCACCAUAAGAGUAUUGUAGAACUUUAUCCUUCUUCUUCUCAAACCUACCAUCUUUCUUUGAGAACUUUCCUUUAACGAACAAUUCCUCACCAAUAGACGAUGGCUUGUACUCCUUUUGUUCUCUUAAAUCUUUAUAUUUAAAGAUUGAUUGAACAUAUUUAAAUAUCAACGAAUUUCUUCCAUACAAGAGAGUUUCUUUGAAAUGAGCAUGAGAUUUAGGUAAUGCACAUAACAAUAGAAACACUUGAUUUAUCAUCAAUCUUAACUUCAAUUUUCUCAAGAUCAAGAAUCAACUUGUUGAACAUAUCCAGUUGCUUAACAAAGACUUUGUCUUCACUCAUCUUAAACGAUUACAACGCUUGCUUCAGGUAAAGACGAUUUACCAACGAUUUCGUCAUGUAUAAACCUUGAAGUUUCGUCCACACAUCAGCUGCAAUAUUCUCUUUUGAAACCUGUCGGAGAACCUUAUCGCCAAGUUUAAAUACAAUGGCAUCACGGGCUUCCUCGAUCAUCAUCGUCUUCUCAUUCUCUGUUAGGGAAACAUCCAUCUUCUCCGAUUCUUUAAAUGCUUAUAACAAAUCCUGCUGAACCAAUGAGGCUUGCAUUUUCAGGCGCCACAAACCCAAAUCAUUCACACAGGUGAAUUUCUCAAUCUCAUACUUUGUUGAUGACAUCUUCUCCUCCACGCUCACCGCAAUAGUUUGUUGUUAAUCGAUGUCGUCAAGAAUAAACCAAAAUAUGAGAUAAAAAUUGAGUUUCUUGCUUAAACACAAGAAAUCCUAUUAGCUUUUACGAAAGAGAGAGAGAAGAAGGAAGAAGAAGAAUCAUGAUUGAUUAUAAUUGUUUUACUAUUCACUUUCUUUACUAGGAUUCAAAGAUUGCAAGUGAAUAUCAACAACCAACUCUCUCUCAACAACCUGAGAGAAACAAUCUAUUUAUAGACUACUAAGCUAACUUAUGCUACAAGCUAACUUAAGCAAUUGGGUUAAACAAAAGGCCCAAUCCGACAUGCUAACAAACCUAGCAAUUUUGAUUACUGCAUGUUUGAGCAUACUUCGACUACAACAUGCAUGAUCAGCAUGUGAACAGACUUCAACUACAUGCUAAAUCUUUGUCGAAUCAAGAAGUUAUCCUUAUCGAGACUAGAGUUCAAUCCAACUUCUCACAGAUUCUAUAGUUGCAAAUUAUACAUCUAUAACUUCAUUGACUUAUGUGUUGGAUGACUAACCAUGCAUAUACAUAUCCUUCCACCUAUCAGAGACUCUCAUCAUUGUAGUGGAAAGACUCUAUAGUAUAUUUCUUCAAUACAUCACUAAUUUUCUGUUCCACACCGGAAUAGAAAAUAUUGUCAAUUUUUAAAAAUGUUUACCUCUAAUAAAGAGAACCUAUAAAAAAAAUACAAUAUACACAUUUUUUUUAAAGAAGACCAUACACACACUUAAACAUGAAGGCUUAAUAUCAUACAUGAUGGACUAAUAAUUUUGUUUAUACUUCCUUUAUCUUACAGUGAGUGAUUUAGUUGACUAUUUCACACAAAUCAAAAAAUAAAUAAAUGAAAGAGAGAAUGAUAUUUUGAUUAAAGUACUCUUAUAAUAUAUUGAGAAUGAUGAAAGUAAUAUUAAUUAGAGGAUAAAAUUGAAAUAAAUCUAUUAAAAAUUAAAAUAAAUCAUCCAUUUUAAAAUAUUUUUUUUAAUUUCAAAUGAAUUAUUUAUUAUAGGAGUGAGGGAGGGAGUAAGAAUGAAAGGCUAUUACUUUUACUUACACUAAAAAGAAAGUGGACUAAUCUUGAGAGAAGCCCUUGUUGUGAUGUUUUUCAUGAACAAUGAAAAGAUAUAUAGCAUAUGAUACAUCACUUUCUUGUGCAUGAAAUGGACCAACCAUAAGUAUCUCACUUAAUAAUAUGAUUGUCUUUUCCUAUUUGGAACCCAAGCUUUCUUUUAAUGGUUUUCUCACAUGCAUUCAUUAUAAGUUAUUAACUCUCUCAAUACAUUCAUUUCUUAUGAGAUAUGAAAACAUCUCUAUACUAAUAAUAGCACUCGAUGAUUAACCAUUGAUUUUUUCUCUAUCUAAUGGUUUGUUAUUUGUUUGUGUUUUGCUUUUUGUUUGAUACCUAGCUAGUUACCUUCCCCAUGUGCAACAUUGCUUUCAUCCCAAACAAAGGCAUAGUGAAUAUAACUUAUAUAUAUUAUUAUAUAAUAUAUAAUAUAUAUAUAUAUAUAUAUAUAUAUAUAUAAUAUAUAUAUAUUAUAUAUAUAUAUAUAUUAAGCAAAAGCCUCUUAAUUGUUGAAAUCUUCAUUUUCUUACAAACAUGCCAAGCACAAGAAAUAUGAGAAAUCUCAACAUCUGCUUUUCAAAUUCAACUCUAUCAAAAUCUCCACCUGCAAGUCCCACUGCUACUACUACUACCAGUGCAACUUCCUCACAUCAACAUCAUCAUCAAAUUCAUCACAAACCAUCUUCAUCUACAUCUUCCACAUCAUUUAUGAUUAAGAACUUCAACUCUCUCUAUGACCCUUCCUUAACCUCUAACCAUACUUUAUGCUCUUCUUCACUCUCUACCACUUUCACCACAUCCACAUCAUUCAAUCUCGACUUCGAACCCGAACCCGAACUCGAACCAGUUGACUUUGCAGCUGCCUUCGCCUCUCAACGCUUCUUCUUCUCGUCUCCCGGAAGUUCGAACUCGCUAAUUGAAUACACAAACACAAAUUGCAAGUCCAACGGUACCAAGCAUGAGAAGAAGAAGAACAAAAAUGAAGAGAAAGAGGAGGUUUUGUUCAACGGAAGCGUGGCUGUACCGACCUAUUCGCCUGAUCCUUAUACAGAUUUCAGAAGAUCGAUGCAAGAGAUGGUGGAGGCUCGUCCGGAGUUGAUGGAUGUGAAAUCUAAUUGGAACAUCUUACAUGAAUUGCUUCUUUGUUACCUUGCUCUCAACCCAAAAAACACUCAUAAGUUCAUUCUAGGUGCUUUUGCCGAUCUUCUUGUUACCCUCAUAUCGUUGUAAUCAUGAUUUUAAAUUGCAGUUGCAACGUGAAUUGUGAUACUCUUGUAAAAGAACACUCAUAAUCUCAUUCUAAGUGCUUUUGUUGAUCUUCUCAUUACCCUCGUACUAUCGUUAUCGUAAUCAUAGUUUUAAAUUGCAGUUGCAGUUAUACAUCUUUAAUAUUACGGUCAUAACUGCAGUUUAGAGCUAUGAUUCAUGUGAUUUCGAAAAACAUGUAGGGUUGAUGUGAGCUAAUGAUUUGUCUCAUCAUCAUCAAUAAAACUGGUACAUCAUUCAUACACGUUGAUCGUUUCUUGAUUUGGUUAAAUUUAACGUGUACUUGAGUAUAGUACGUACGUAGUGACUAAAAUAUUUAGUUUCUUUCUUCGGAGGGUGGGGAACAGGCUAUAAUCAAGGUUUUGGUCCCCUCGGUACAGCAUUCAUGGUCCUCUACUUCACCCAUCACCAUCCUCUUAUUUUUUUUAUUAUAUACCAGUUAAACUAACUUACUUGAUACAUCAGAUACAGAGAUACUGAAAAGAGUUCGAAUCUGCUACAUUUUAAUUAAAAAAAAAAUAUAAUAAAUCAUAAUCAAUAAAGCUUUUAAUAUUUGUUCAAUUCAAAUUCAGAUGGAUCAUAAAAGACGCAAAGUAGCAAAAUUAAUGUAUGGUCUCUUUUUAGAUCUUGACGACAUUCAUAGUUUAACUAAUAACUAUAGUCUAAUUUGGCUGGUAAGCAAGGUUGGUUUUAAUUAAUAUUAAUUAAUCAGUUGUUAUAUGUUUUUGACUUAUUGGGCAGUGGAAAGGGAAAAUUGAUUAUAAUAUUCAACUAAUAAACAAAUGUAAGUGAUUAGUAGUUAAUAAUUGUUUGAUUGAGCAGAAUCGAUGCAUCCAGACGAUGAGAAUCAUGAGAUGCUCAGAGAGUCAGAAAGAAACAAAAUGAAAAAUAGUAAAAUAAGAAUUGCCAAAGAGACAUAAUCAAGAAAUCUCGAUUUUCUGCCCCCUUUCAAUUUUCAUUUUCAUUUUCAUUUUCAUUUUCAUUUUCAUUUUCAUUUUCAUUUUCAUUUUCAUUUUUCUAUUUUGAUUCUAAUAUUAUUUUAAUGAGAUGAUGGUUAAGAAUGGAGAUAAGCCACGCUGAAGAUUCACUCGCCAUUUCUUUAGGUCCUUUCGUUUUCCUCAUUUUCAUUUAGAUAUAGCCCCCCUACAUUUUGAUUAAUAUCACAUGUAAUAUGGAAUUCAUUUUUCAAAAGGUAAAGUGAAAUGUGAUACAUUCGAAUUUAUGCUCCAGCAUAUUCUUGCAUAGUUAUUAACUCAACUGAUUUAAUGGAAUUAUAGGCAAGAUUUUAAAAAAACUAUAAAUCAAUUUAACUGAAAACAUCAUAUUAGAAAUAAUAAAAAAAGCUUUUUAAAAUCGAUGAUCUAAUUAUUAUUAUUUUGUUUUGUACUUUGUGCUAAAUCUUAAAUUUGGUAUUUUUGUUGCUGUGUUGUAAUUUUUACAUUAUAAUAUAAUGUAUUUUUUCCACAUAUUAGACCUAUUCUUGUAAAAUAUAAUUUAAAAUGUCAUAUAUAAAAUUAGAUUCUCUAAAGGCAUGGUUAGAUUUGAAAAUAAAAUUUAAUUUCGAUAAUAUUGUUCUAAAUCAAUCAUAGAUCUAAAGAUAGAAAAGUUCAAUCAUGACGAGAUCCAAUCCAAGAACGUGCGGGUUAGACGGUGUGGCUAGUGAUCGAGAGGGGGGGUGAAUAGAUCACCUCUUUUAAAUUUAACGGAUUUGAAAUUUUAUCAGAGUUUUCAAAGUUGGCGGAAAAAUCAGUCCCGAAUCGACUUUCGUCUAUUCUGAACCGCUACUAGAAAGCCGGACACACAAGUUUGAUUGCUGGAUUUUAAUGAGAAUGACAGAACCAAUUCACACCAGAAUUUUAACUAAUUGAAUGCACUUAUCAUUAAAGUCUAUUUCCAAUGAAUAAAAUCUAACUAACCGUUUUAUCAAACAGUUGGUGUGUAUGUGAUUAAUGAUAAACUGCAAUGGAGUUUGAUUAAAGUUUUCUUGCCACUGCUGUCUUGAAAAAGAAACAAUCACCACACACUAACUGAAAUUGCGAAAACAGUUUGAAAAACGUAAAGAGGAGUAAGGUAAGAGUACGAUACGCAGAGAUUUGGUAAGGAAGUUCCCCACGUCGUCCUCGCGUGUGGGUACGUCUCCCUCUCAAUUUCAAAUGAAAUUGAGAACUUUGAUUAUCAAUAUUGCCGAAUCCGUUGAUACAAGGUUAUGAUACAAAGACAGAAUUCUAAACUAGAACCUCUUCUUGUAUAAACCUUCACUUGAUCUGAGCACGAUCAAGAUUUUCCUGCACAAAGUUGCAAACAAUUCACCGGUUCCACGACCGCUUGCGAAUCCCCCGAUCUCCAAACGCAACGCUGCGGCUGAAUAUGUUCUGCAAAUGUGACUCCCAACCCUCAAGAACACUCCAGUUCUUUUGAAGACAAAACCAGUAGGUUUUUCCUAAAACCCCUUCAAUCUUCGACUCAGCUAGAUCGCUCUCGUGCCACUGCAAACCACAGCUAAUCCUUGAGCUACCACUGAACGUUAUCUCGAUGCUCUCUUUAUCCAAAGAACAAGAAUGGUUAUGUGUAAAUGUUCUUGAAGAAAAGUGAUUGAGAAGAUGAAGAGAGUGAAGUUCUCUUCAGGUUUCUAAAUGCUCUCAAAACAAUUGCUCCAACACUGCUUUGAUCUUGUGUUUCAAUUUUUCCCUCAAUGAAUUCGUGUUUGCACUUCGUUUGUAACCUGUCUUUAUAUGCUGCAAAACAGUUGCUGUUAUAACAUGAAACAGUUUAUGUAUUGAUGCAUAAGGGUGUGUAUCGAUGCAUACUGUAAGUUGUGUGAAUUUUUGGUGAAAUUUAUUAAUCAUGUAUCGAUGCAAAUUCGUUGGUAUCGAUGCAUUGUGAUAUCUCCACUGGUAUGUAUCGAUGCCUAAUGCGCAUGAUUGAUACACAGGCUGUCAAUUGGUCAUGUAUCGAUGCAGGGAUCGUGUGUACGUAUCAGUCAUAGUAUUUGUCUUCCAUGUAUUGAUGCAUGACUCGUAUGCAUCGAUGCAUACUGAACAGAGAGGUUUUGUGAUUUAUCACAUGCUGUAUGUAUCGAUGCAGAGGCUUUAUGUAUCGAUGCUUACUGACAUAAGAUGCAUUUUUAAUUGUUAUUUAAAGGUAAGUUUCAAUGUAGUUAUAUGUACAGUUAUGCAACAAUAGAGUGGGAUGAAAACAUAAUAAAACACAAUGUAUCAUGUAAGCAAUGCACAACCAACAUUUGGUGAUGAUCACACAAUUUGCUAUCAUUAAAAUUAAUUCAAGGUAAAGAAUUCUCCACAAGAACUCCCCCUUUUUGUGAUGAUCGGCAAAUUCUUGGCAAGAUGUUGUAUACUCCCCCUGGAGUUGUUGCACUAUCGCAUUAUUCUCCCCCUUGUCAACAUCAAAGAGAGAAGAGCACAAGUUACAUGGUAGCAUAGUGUAGCAGACAUGGCAAACAAUGGAUAACAGGCUAUCAAUCCAAAGAAUGAAGCAUCAAAGUAAGAUCAUUCACAAAGAUGAAGAAUAAGGCCAAUAACAAUAGAGAUAAACAGAAUUAGAAAGGCGUUUUAAAGAUACGAACGAGUUUAAGAGUUACAUAAGCAUAAACCAUAGUGUGCAAAAAGAAAAGCUAGAGCAAUAGGAAUGAGAAUGCUAUGAGAUGAAAUGCAGGUGGGUUAAUUUGAUAUGUUGCCACACACAGACUCCUCAUCAUGUCUGUUCAGGAUCUCUGGUACUUGGGACGGGCGGAGGAGGAGGCAUUGUGUUGGACUUUUGGCCCAGAAGGAGUAUUGCUCAAAUCGGUUCUACUGCAUAUGCUUCUAAAACUGCCAUAAUCCCAGUAUUUCACGCAGUCAUCCAUAAAGCCGGACCUUUCGUUGUAGAACACUUGAUGCAUUUUAACUAAGUCUUGGUGCCAACGUUGUGAUUGUGAACAUCCGUGUAUGCUCAUCAUGCCAGUCCCGAUGCUCGUGUGUCCAUUCAGAUGUGUUGAACAUGCCAUGCAGUACGUGCUUCUCAUGGCUUUUUUGUUGACAAUUUCCAUCUGUUAAGCAUAGAUGAGUAUGUCGCAUUGGUUGUGUUGAGCUGAAAGUACACCGGAAAUAGGGGUUGUAGGUUCAGGUACGUAGUUGGUGGGAGACACAGCCACUUCUCCAUUCGUAGGCCCAAUCUCUCCAACCAGAUAUUGGCUUCAGCUUGUGUGCAUCUGUUUCAGCCGCAUCCUGCAUCUCUUCAUCAGGCUGAUCUUCAGCAACAUGGAUGCGUUCCGAAAGUUCAAAAUGUGAUAAAUUUCUGUUUUGGAUUUCUUUCGAAGAAAUAGAAGCAUUUGCGUUCCUUGGCCCAGAUAUCCACAUAGCGAUAGGAGUUGCAGAGUCAAAUCUUGAGCUGCAGAUGAGAUAGAGAGGCACAAUAGGUAUUGCCACUUUCCAAACUUAAGAAUUUUCAUUAUUUGAGAGGCAUACCCUAGAGCCACAGUUUUUGGAGCUGUCUCGCACAUAAAAUAGACGUUUUUACAAAGUAGUUCGCCCAUUUAAGAGAAUCUAUUGCAGAGGAUGUAGAAGAUGUUAUGCUAGGCCUAAUCCAACCGAGAGUCCACUGUUGGUUGGGCGCAGAAUGUGUGUUAAUGAUCCAUAGUGAAGAAUACGCGGAGUUUGUUGAUAUCAUUACCUGACGUGAACGUUUCAUCUUCACUCAACGCUAUUCAAUCUUUAGGAUAGAAGGAAGUAAAAUCUUUCAUGUCAAUCAGGAUCAAAGUGCAGGUCAUGCCAGGACUUGACAGCCAUCGACGGAAGCGGCAUUUGAAACACCGUUUCCCAAUCAGAGGCUCAAAGGUAUAUGUUCUGACUCCGAGUAUAGAAACGGAACAUAUAACCUCUACCAGUUUGUAAGCCAGCAUAAAAGAUCCGAAAUGAAAUCCUCAUGUACUCAUCCUUUGUGACAGGAAACGACGCCACAGUCUUUGUGCUUGAUAAGAUUCAACCACUUCAUUUAGGUGUAGGGUGAAUAGCAUCUGUUUUAUCAAAGCGUGAGGUUUCAUGACUAACCUUGUCUGAAGAUCUGCUUCAAAUUCGGUUAUCUUCGCAGCAACAGCAGGAUGAAGUAGCUCUAAGCAUUUGAAGGAACUUCAGGUGGUGGGUGGAUGUACCGGCUGUUCUCUUCCCUUUCCUUUUCCUUUGGCCUGGCCUGGAAUAGUGCGUGGAGGCAUGGUGAUGUGAGAUUUAGGUUUUAAGAGAGAGAGUGAAGAUGAGGAGAUUAGGUGAGCACUUUUUUUGGGUUUUUGGGGCAGAUGAGAUGAAGUAAUGAGAUAGGAAAUGAUAUGAGUGCUGAUGUGUCGAUGCAUGAAGAGAGAAAGAAGCAUUUAAUUCAGAUAGCAUCAGUAUGGAUCGAUGCAGAGGGUCAUGCGUCGAUGCCAAAAUAUUCACAAUUGGCAUGAUGUAUCGAUACAUUGCGAUGGCUGCUGAUCGAUGCUCCUUAAGCCAGUUUUUUAAAAAUUUGAAUUUCAAAUGUAUGGGUCAGAUGCAUGCUUCGGUGUGUCGAUUUGCAUACUGAUGCUGAACCAGUUUUUAAUGAAUUUUAUUAUGCAGUAUGAAUAUGCAUUAUGCACUGUCAUGAUGAUUAUGCUCAACAGAGAUUCAGAAGUCAAGGUUUUAGUGUGCAUAUCACAAUAUUGGACAAGGAGUAUAUGCAAACAAAUUUUAGAUCAACUAGAAUAAGAACAUUUGUGUCUAACAUAACCAAUCACUUAGCAAUAAGAAAAUUGUAGAAAGGAUUACUAUUACCCUCUGUUGGAGAACUCUGUGAUGGAUAAUUGACAUCUAAAACCAGCUCUAUCAACCAUGGUGAGGCAUAAUAUAAUUAGAGUAACAUGCUUAUGACAUCAAUUGAGAAAGAUUACGGAUUCCCAAUUCCGACGAAUGUUGAAGAAAGGUUCUGUUGCCAAUGUUAGUGAAAAUAUCAGCAAGCUGAUUUUUGAAUCAACGUGGCCAAAGAUAACGUCUUCUUUUUCACAUGAUCACGAAGGAAGUGAUCUGUUCUAAUCUUAUGUGUUUAGGUGCGUGUAGGUGUAAAACGGGGUCUAGUAAGGUUUAUGCACUAUUGUCUACAUUGAUGAGGAAUACGUUUGAGUUGAGAAUGUUGAAGUUUGUAGUUGCUGUUUCAGCCAUAAAAUCUGAGCCUAACAACCUACCAGGACGGGCAACUAUUCUGCCACUGCAGUUGACAAAGCCACAGAACUUGCUUUUGCUAUGCCAACUGACCAAGGAGUUUGAAACAAGGUGACAUGUACCACCUGUGCUUUUCCUAUUGCUAUUUGCAGCCAGCAAAAUCGAACGGAAGGUACCCUACUAAGCUACAAUCAUCAUUCUCUUUGGAAUACCAAAAGCCCAGUUUAGGUAGUUCACUGAAGAUAUUCUCUGAGAUAUUAUGCGCUUCACCGUGCUUUAUGUAUGCGAUUCCUUAGGAUUUGAUUGAGUACGUGCACACAUACCAACACUAAACAUGAUGUCAGGUCUAGAAGACAGAGAAAGAUUACAAGAGAGAUCCAAUCAUACCUCUGAACUUUUGAACUUGACUACAACUUUAACCUCAUCACCUUAUCUAGAUUUCCGUUGUAGGCAUUGGGAGGUCAAUCAGAUUUUGAGUCAUUCAUUCCAAAGCGCUUGAGUAGUUUCUCCAGUAUUUUGUUUGACAUACUGUUGUACCCUCAUCAAGUUGUUUUAUUGCAGUCCUAGGAGUUAGUCAGCUCCCCAUUUAGACUCAUCUCAAAUUCACCCUGCAUAACCUUAGAAAUUCUUCGACCAAGUGUAUGUUAGUUGAACCAAAUAUGAUAUCGUCGACUAAACUUGAACUAAAAAAUGCGCUUCCUCUUUGUGUUUAAUAAAGAGAGUAUUGUCCACUUUACCUCUUGAUAUCCAUGAUCAAUUAGGAAUUUGCUAAGCCUUUCAUACCAAACCCGAGGGGCUUGUUUAAGGCCAUACAAAGCUCGUUUUAAUUUGUAAACAUGAUCUGGAUUUCAGCAUUUUAAAGCCGGGAGGUGUGAAACAUAUACUUCUUCAUUUAUAACACAUUGAAGGACAGCCUUUUUACGUCCAUUUGGUAAGCUUAAAAUUACCUCUUAGAACACGCAUAGGCAAGCAAAGACAUAGCUUAGCUUCAAGGCGAGCAACUGGAGCAUAAGUUUCCUCAUAGGUCUAUGCCCUCCUCUGUUAUACCCUUGUGCUACUAAACGUGCCUCUUUCCUAGUAAUCACUCCGUUUUCAUCAAGCUUGUUCCUAAAAACCCACUUAGUGCCUAUGAUAUGUGAUCUCGCGGACGAGGACAAGUUCCCAAACGUCAUUUCUUUUUAUUGAUUAAGCUCUUCUUGCAUGGCCAUGAGCCAAAAAUUCAUCAAUCAAGGCCUCUUUGCAUUCUUAGUCUACUUCGUUGUGAAACAAACGCGAUCAAUGGACAAAAAAUUAUACAUUGAUCUUAGAACGAGUCAUUACUCCCUUUGAAAUGUCUCCCAAGAUGUUCAUAGGAUGGGUCUUUUGAGGAUCUCCAAGCUGGUUAAGAUCAUUCACUUCAGCUGUUCUUUUCUUCCUCAAUUUCUUCACAUGAUAUAUCUUCCUCCUUCUCAUGGGCAGCUGUUUUGGACUGAUCAGUUUCCUCAACAGCUUCCUUGAGUAGUCUUCGUGUUGAUCACCUGCGUCAUCAAAGAAAUUACCUUUUUCCGACAUUUUUCGGAUAAGACUCAUCAAAAGAAACUAUGAACAAUAUCCUUCAACAGUAAAGUAAACGCGUAUAUGUCUAUACCUCUAUAUGCUUUACUUGAACAGUAGUAACAAGAAAGAUACCUUCAUCCGCUUUUGCCACAUCAAUACUUUCCCAUGUAUUUCCUCUUACUCUCAAAAAUCAAAACAUCCACCAUUAACAACCGAAAUACGUGAAGACUGUGACAAGUUUGGUUUUCUUCCUUCAAAAGUUUCAUAGGAGUUUUGUUUAAAAUAGGGCGAAUUGAGAUUCUGUUUAGAACAUAACAGGCCAUGCUGACAGCAUCAGCCCAAAAGUAUUUUGGUAAUCCACCCUCAUGAGCAUUUCUUCCAACUCCUCUAAAAUCACGAUUUUUCACGCUCCACAACGCCACUUUUGUUGGUGGAGUGCGAGGUGGCUGAAAAGUUAUGCUCAAUAACCAUUAUCUUGUCACAAAACUUCUCAAAGUGGUAAUUUUGAAACUCACCACCAUGAUCGCUACGAAUUGUAACUAUUUUGGAGUUCAUUUUGUUUGGGGACAGAUUUGCCAAAAUUUUUAAAGGCAGAAAAAGUUUCAUCUUUGCUAUGAAGGACAUAUUAGUCCAAGUGAAUCAAGAGUCAUCAAACUAUUACAAAGCACGAUACUAGUAAUAUUCACUUAGUCUCCUGUUUCAUCCUAGUCUAUUAAGGUCCAAAGAGGUCCAUUAUGGAGAAGCUCAAGAAGGUCGUUGAAGUUGAAAUUACAUAUUUUAGAUUUAAAGAACACCUCUGUGUUUGCUUUCCCAUUUGCACGCGUCGCAUAUGUGGUCUUUUGAAAAUUUUAUUUUUGUUAGACCGACUACUAGAUCCUUAGAUACAACCUUAUUUAGCAAAUCGAAGUUAACAUGCGCUAAACGUCUAUGCCAAAGCAAGAAGUCAUCAUCAAGGUGACUAGACAUUUAGUAUUUGUUAAAGUACAUCAAACAAGUCACAAGCAUAUAGAUGUUGUUUACUCUUACACCCCUUAAACACAAUGUUUUGUUUCACAAUAGUUCAAUUAUGCAGUUAUUUUGUAAACGUACACACUUUAUAGCCCAUGUCGCAUAGUGACUUAUGCUUAUACAAAUUGUGUUUAAGUCCCUCAACUAAAUGGACAUUUGAAAUAGUAGUGGUGGAGGAUUACCUACACUACCUUUUCCGAGUAUAGCUCCUUUGUUGUUGCUCCAUAAGUGAGACAUAUCCCUUCUUUCUUUGCCUUGAAGUCUAUAAAGAGAUUCUAGAUAUGUCACCGGUCAUUGUGCCUCGAGCAAGCCGCUGUCAAGAAACCACCUUCUAUCUGCGGAGGCAAGCCACUCAUCCUACAACAUCAAAGAGAGAAGUGGUACCCAAUUUUCAUUGGUCCAAGUGGGUAAGUUAACAUGGUUGCCUUUUGGCUCCAUUGAUAAAUACCUUUAGGACAAGAAACUCUCCUAAAUUUGCAUUUUGAUCGUUCAGCCUCUAGUACAAUUGUAAUUGUCCGAGGACAAUCAAAGAAAUCAUCAAGAGUUGGCUGAAAGCAAUAAAUGUAUCGAUUUUAAGCCAUCCAUUAGAUGGUUGUGUUGUUUCAUGGAGAUUACACCUUUCGUAAUCCCAAUUUAUCUUAGCAGAUAUUAUAACAGUUCGAUUAUUUUGGUGCCUAUAUGGUCAGGUGUAUUCCAAACCUAUCUAUGAUACUAACUUUUCUUCGAAUCAGAACAACUGGGCAUAUCAAGUAAUAAUCUUUAGUUUCUAGGGUGUUUGGGGAGUCUCUCUUCUCUCAAUUAUUGACGACUUCUUCUAAAGCAGUGUUUAUCCUCACUAUUUUGCCAUCCAAUUUAAUAACAUAGCGUCACAUACCUACUUUUCUACUCCAAUCCGUCUAAUAUGUAAAAUUAGGUUUUUCGUUGGUGGGCGUUCGGAGUCUGUGUGGGUGGGCGUCGUAUACCAAUCUUCUAUUAUCUAUCAUCUAUUCAAUUUCAGCUUUUUACACCGGUCCAAAAAAAAGGAGAAAUGAUUAUGUUAGUACGGUCAAGAUAGUUCUAUAUCUCUAUCUAUGUCUUAAUCGCUUAGUUGCAGCUUUUAUCACAAAGCUAUUUCUUGGUCUGGAAAGAAGAAUCUUUACGAGGAGAAAAUUAAUGCUCAAUAGCUUGUUUUUAUCUCUUCUUUGUCAUUGUCUUGUUUUCUUCUCUUGGGAUAGGGACAGGAUUUUUUGUUGAGCCUAUGUAAUACGGCAUCCGAGGAUUUUGCAGCGAGGAUAACGUCAAAUGCAUCAUCUUAUCUCUGAAGCUUUGUCGGUGCUUAGUCAUGAGGAAUCACUACGAGCACGUUUGCCCAUCAAGUAUACGCUCUUCUUGGGUUGUUGCUCGUACCCUCUUUGUGCGAGACCUAAAAUCAUCCUUCUCUCUCUUCACAAUCACUUGUAUACUUUACCAUUAUGGGCAGACGUCCAUUUUAUCUCAUUAGUGAUCCGUAGAACUUCACCCACAAUUAAAAAAUAGGAUCAUCUCUCUCUCUCUAUCAAACAAACUUUCAUACUCGGCUGAUGUUCUCUUCUGGUUCAAUUUAGGAUGGCUAUCUUACUGAAUACGCUUCAAAUGGAACGAUAAUUGUCCGUGCGGAUAUAUUACCGGUUUGACAUCCAUUCUUUCAUAGUCUAGAUUAAUUGAUUCACAUUUCUGGUGAAUGCUGACUUCACUCAUCUUCUACAAUUACAGUCUGCAAUUUCCUCAUCAUCCGAGUUCUUUGUCCUACUUAAAUCAUUGUCGCUCUUGCGUGCUUUUCGUGAGAGAGAGGAACUUUAGAGUACUAUAUGAGGCCACAAGAAAGCUAUUGGCUUCUUCUCUCCCAUACAAUUUGUCUGCUUUCAUUUCUUUCUCCUUUUGCUCGUCCUCUACUGUCUUCUUCUCUUCAUAUUGGGGUUUUGCAGGACUGGUGAGUCCAAAGUGUCCAAUUGCUGACUGUUCUUCCCUUUCUCUUCCCAUUUACCGAACCAAGGUUGUAAUCGUCAGCCUUCGUUAGCUGAUCAGCUUGGUCGAGCUUUUGCCGUGAUGCUGUAAACUGGUGUAGUAAUGAAGUAUCGCAUCUCUUCCACUUUCUUCUAAGACACCUGAGAAUUUAUAGUACAGAUUUCAUUUGGGAAAUAGGUUUUCCCAAUGAAGACAAAGGAUUCAAUUUUCAUGGCUCUACGGUUUUUCAACUGUGUUAGAUGUUUGGAGGAAGAUGUUCAAAGAUUCCCGGAACUUGAAAAAUUUCGCUCUUUUUUGCGAUCGGGAGAUGGGUGCGCUAGAGUCGUUAAACCCUUGUAUAGGUCCUUUUGGAAUGCCGGAUAACCAUAGGACAAAUGAAUAUUGCCUCACAUUUCCAUUCAUAACAUCUCUUAUUAAAUAAACUCUUGGCGAAUGCCAAAAUGGUGCGAUUAAUAAUCGACGGAGGUCAUGAGGUUGUUGUUACCAAUUAAUAUUGUGUAAGAGUUUUGACAGACAUUACGGCAAGACUUUGUUGAAAGAAAAGUUUUUACACUCUGCUGAAGUACCAUAGAAAAAUUUAUUUCAAGGUGGAAGAAGUGAACCAUUGACUUGGGAAUUUAGAAAUAGGUUUUCGGACAAACAAUUCUUUAAUUAUUCCAAGAGCGUCCAACUACUAUCUUUCACUUUUACGGUCCACAGUUCGAUUCGGUCCAUGAAUCACUAGGGCUUCAAAUAAUACACAGGGACGAGUUAAGCAAUUGAUCAAUUUAGUCUUGAUCCACCCUAUGAAUGCACCUUCCGAAUAAUUUACUACUUCGAUAAACUCGAUGCCCUCGACAUACAUAUUCCAAUUCCUUCAUUGUCUUGGGAAACAAGUUUUACACACUUUUGAGGUGAUUUUUUCCAUACCUGUUUCGUCUCUACAUAUUAUCGGACAAUCGUCAUAUUCUUUGUUUGAUAACAUUUUGGUUUCAGAGUAUCACAUGAUCAAAUUCUUUGCUGCUCCACAUUUGAGAGUCGACUCUUCAGCAUUACUGUACACGAAUUGGGAGUGAUUGCAUUCCAUCCUCAAGGCCCAAUCAUUUGCCUAUGCACCCAUGCAAGAGCACCGUUGCUCCUAACUUUGUCUUUUUAAUUGUUUCAUUAUGGUGCAAAUAUCCAAGUGCAUAUUGGGCUAUGAUUUUUAACUAUGGAUAUAAUUAUAUAAGGGACUUCCCGGUUUUCAAUGGAUUAGCAUUCCCAUCAUAACAUACACCCUUCAGCCCAAAGCUUUUGCUUCCAGACGGGACAACCUUUUUUUAUUAAUAGACACCUCACUUCACCUGCCCCAUUGAGCAAUAUGUAGCUGAAGGUUUCUCGCGAGUCCAAUCGGCUUUAGAUUUAGACUUUACAUUACUUCUUUUGCAUCCCGUUUUAAUAGUGUCAAACUACUAGAAAUAAGAUUUCAGCCUUCCGCCCUUUUUCAACAUUUCUCAUUACGGUGAUGUCUACUCGCGCCAUUGCGUGUCAAGCGAAUCCAAUAGCGGUAGCGGAUGUAUGCAUUUCCAAGGCUCAAGAGACCAUCAAGAUCAAACAGACUCCGAAAGCGGGCGACUUAGAUCAACUCCCUAGAGACUCAGCUUUUUUGUGUUUACUAAACAACGCUGCUUCUCUUUGAUUCUCUCUCAAUUCUCCACUUGCUUGUUGAUCGUGGUGAUAUGAAAUCCUACCAAUGUAGGCAACAAGAUUGGUUGCUUUGAGGUCAAAUCAAGCAACUUCAGAUUCCAUGAUCCUCAAAAUUCAAUUCCCUUGUUCUUUCCAUUACUUGGAUUAGACAAAAUUGAGGGCAGAUUCGAGCUCCUAAGAAUUUUUCUUUAAAUCUAUGGUCUUUCUUUGCAUUUUGUUGAUGGUUGAAGGUGGACCAGCCGGUGAGGUUCCAGGUGAGAAGAAGACCAGAGCGCUAGCUCCUGUGAUGGUGUUGGGAAAGCAUCUCAACCAUCAGAUCCUUUUUAAAUGUUUUACUCUCGGACGUUGCUUCUGAUUACCGCCGCGUGCAUCUUUCACUUGUUGGACUUAGCUGGACAGUUGAAUCCGUGGAGAACGCGCAACUGGCGUGACUCCAGUCUGAUCUGCCUGACCGACUAAGAUAUUACACAUGGGCUUUUUUAAAUGUAGAUACAAGCGGAGUAGUCUACGUUUUUUUUGAUUAGAUUUUUAUGAAAAAUUUCUUUUAAUUGCUUUUAAUUUUUCCAAGAGUGAAUUCAUAAUAGUAUUUCCAAUUAUUGAUCGCUAUUGGGCGAGAAAAUAUUAAGUUCACUGUUCACCGUAAACCCGAAAUUCUGGAUUCAAUUUACGUUUCUCUUCAUUUUUUCAUCUGUUCUAGAAAUCCAAACUAUUUUUUUGGCUACUUUGCGGGAUAAAUCUUCUGACGUAAUAUAUCUACUCUACAUGUUUUGACAUUAAUGUGUUUGUUGUUAUGUCAUAUAUUUUUCAUUAAUCUGAAUGUAUCUAUAACACAAAAAUCAUCCAUCCUCUCACUGAGAAUUUUACUUUUUCAUAAAAUGUUGAUGAAAUUUUUUUGCAUUAUCCCAUAUGGAUCCACUUAUAAGUGAUUCCUUGUGAGUGGUUGACCUCCUAAUGAUAAAUCCUUUUGAGCUAUUGUAAACUUAAAUUUUCGAGGGCUUAGAUCCAGUUUUUUGUGAUUCCAAGACAGUUUUGAGGGUUGUGGUGACAAUCAAUAAUGUCGUAUUUAAAACAUAUUAAUUCGAAUUAUAUAACAUUCUAUAUGGCGAAUGUUGUUGAAUGUAUUUAAUUGCUUUUCUUGGCCACUGCCUGUCUUUUUUGGUAUAAAUAAAAUAGUAGUGAAUAUGCGACCAUAUCAUCCACAUCUUAUUGACCUUCUGAUAGCUAAGAGUAUUGCUCUCGACUAUGUGUAUGAACGUUUUGAGAGGAUCAAACUGCUUGAAAGUCAAAGGGGGGUUGAUUGACUUUUGUUGGAAUUAAAAUCAUUUGGAUUUAGAGGUGAAUUGAUGAAACGGUAGCGUAUUUAAUCGUACACGCCAGAAUAACGCGACAAAUUGGUAAGAGAAGUCCCCACGUCUACCUUCGCAUCGGGAAUGAGUUGGUUAAUUUGAUGUAUAACGUUCCCUUCUCCCCCACCUAUGACCCGCAAAUUUGUUGUCUUGUUCAUUUCUGACUUCGCUAGCAACUCGCUUUCAUCUUCUGAUUUAAUACUCCACAUUCUUAUUGCUAUCCCGCCAUAUCCCCCUUCCAUUGUUGCCAAUGACAUACUCAAGUUAUAAAUUAAUCCUCUAAAGGACCAGUAAAAUUUGGCCAUUAAUAACCUACAUGAAACAUCUCUUGUUUCAGUAUGAUACGGUAAAUAUAAUCACCAGUAGUGGAUGAGCCUUUAGCACUGUAUAUGACAUUUCAUUGCUUUGUGUUAGGAAGGUCGAUAAAUAUAACUUUGUGUUAGAUGAAGAAACCUUUAGUGUCCACUUCAAAUUCAAAGAGCCAUUUUUAUCCUCUAGUUCCUCAACAACUGUUUGCAAUUAUCACAACGAAUUCAUUUCAACUUACCGCUAGUUUUCUGAAUGCGCAUUUUCGCUUUUGCCUCACUUGAGCCAUAUAUUACGUAUACAUGCUUGAGCUUUUAUGUUCGAUUAAUCCCUGUUUAUUUUGAUUUAUUGCUUUGUGGUCUUAGGACCUUAAAAUACUUAUAAAUAACGAAAACACCCUAAACAAGAUGUUCUCGUAGUUUUCGGCCAAACUGUCGUCGAGAAUCGCUUUGGAGUCUGCUUUGGACUUAGAAUUAAGGCAACAUUCCCUAUGCAAGCACUUGGGCAAUGCCAACAUUUCUGAAAACCCAAGUCUGACUUUUGUGAAUUUUGGUUUAGAUUUGUCACUCAUCAUGUGGACUCCCGAAACCUGCGUCACUAAAUUGAUAUAACCCACAUUUGUACCGAUGUGCUUGCAAGGACAAUCUUGCACAGCUAGGUUAAUCCCUAAAUAAACCCCCUUCGAGCAUUCUUCCUUGAACUUGCAGAAACUUUGAUGUAGCACCUUUUUCGUGAUCCAACCUGGCAGAUCCAAUAUGCCCCACUUACUUUUUGUAAGACCUAUCCCAUAAGUAGGUAACUGUUGUCAUCUUGAUAACCAAGGGCUGGAAGAUAUACAGCAUUGAUCAACAGGAAUAUGCUUCGUUUUUGUAAUUACCAGCUUGGAUAGAAGGCGACUGUACAUUUAUUUGUGUUUUAGUCUCGUAAAUGUGUCUGCUUUGUCAUAUAUUAGGAACUAACUUAGUGCUUAAUUUUGAGAUAUUGAAGAUUUGAUUAAACUCCAAAGGAAAAAGUUGAAGGAUUGAUCGAUUUAGAUAACGACUUCUUGUACUAUCUAGGGAGUUUGUGCCUGUAUCUCAUUUCAUUGGGUCAGAUCGUGUUUCAUAUCCUCUUUAUUUUAAUUUUUAUCUAUGUAGCGUACUUUCUGAAAUCUACCUAAUUCCAAUUCCAUACACUGCUUCUUGUGAUCCUUCGAUCUUCUUCAAAUGUAUUAUCUCUUCCUCAAUGAAAAUCUUCUCUCCCCCGGUGUUCUUUGCUCAUUCUUUGUCUCUGUGUAAUUAUCCUUCUCUCUAUUAAACUCUAUAAUUUCAUGCAUUGCAAAACAAGUGUUUGCUUAUGUAAACUUUUGAGCCAUACAUGAAACAGGUUAUUAGCCUAUAUGUCAGUAUUUUGUUGCACAAAAACUCUUUUUUUUUUGCUUAACAUUAAAACUAUAGUAAGAUGAAUGUAUGACCAUAUUAGACUUAUGUAUCGAAAUUUCGAAAGACAAACAUACUAAGAUACAAAGCUUUAGGGAACUUUUUUCAGUGUUGAAACAUUUUUAUAACUUCUAAUUUAUUUUAUUGCGACUUCUUUUGUGCCCACCACCAUGUCUGUUGUAAACUUAACUUUUAUUAUAAAAGCAAUUCAUGUUCCAUCUUUGAUGAGCAAAUUGUGGAAUUAACUCCGUACAACCUACGUAGCGUAGUUGGUUAUUCUCUGAUGCCCUCUCAAUAUGUCUGUAUCAUUAUUGUUGAUAACGUCACUGCAACGAAGUCCUUGUUGUGUUCCCAUCUGUCAAUACACCAUCAAAAAUUAAUUUAGCUCAAUUGCAGUUAUUUUUGCCAUCGAGGCAUCUCGCUCGCACAUCUUUUAUUUCAGACUUUGCAUAGAGAUUUUGUCAUUCAUGUAUUGAUGCAUGACUCGUAUGCAUCGAUUGCUACUGAACAGAAGGUUUUGUGAUUUUCACAGUGUUGUACUCGAUGCAGAGGCUUAUGUACGAUGCUUUACUGGACAUUAGAGCGAAGACAAUGCUAAUUAUAUAGCUUAAAUCAUUCAUGAAACACACAUAACAGAAUAAAGAGUGAGUCCCAUCGUACCCGAGAUUUACCUAAAGGAAGACUUUAUUUGGGUCUACGUUAUACUUGCACCCACUAAUACCCUCUAGGUGUAGGCGGCAACACCUUUUAGAAACCUAGUCAAUUCUUUUAUAAUUUAAUUUAAGAUAAUUUGAACUCUCAUGAAAACCUUUCUUUAAUUCUUUGGGGUAAUUUUGUUGCCAUAAAUGUUUUUCCCCUUUUCCUUUGGAACAAACCAUAUACGAAAUAGCUGCGAUUGUACUGAUCACACAAUUUGCUAUCAUUAAAAUUAAUUCAAGGUAAAGAAUUCUCUCACAGUGCGUACCAAGACGCCGAGAAUUUAAGAUACCCACAAUCAUGAGAUUCACAUUCGAUUCUCAACCCCAAAUGCGCCCAUCGUAAGAUAUAAUUAAACGAUACCCCACUAAAGGCGUUGUAUCACACGGGAAAGAUUUUAAUCGUCCACUCUACAUAAAGCCCAUCACACGUCAUUUCAAGUAAUCUUUAAUUCACACCCGCACUACCACAUUUUUUUUGCGUGCUUAGACAUGAAUAUCAAUUUUUUAAAUUUGUAGGCUUUUAAGGUGUAGUGUCUGCAUGCCCGUUCUGUCCUGCCCUCAUUUUUUGCGUGGCGGGGCAAGAUUUAAGGCUUGCACCCUCAACAACAUUUGCCUCGCUCUACCCCAUUUUUUGAAAGCUUUUAUGGGACCGACCUAAUAUGGACGGACAUGCCUGUUUCCCACCCUUACCCUUAUACUAUUUUUUAUUCAUUCACUAACUUGGAUGUUGGCGUAUUAACCUUGUAGGUUCAUCCUCACUUAGUUGUACCAUAAGCUCACUAUAACAAACCAGAACUCCAUCCCAUUCAAUCUUUACAUAUUUUUUGUUCCAGUUCAAAAUAUUGGCGCCGUUUUUUAGAACCGUCGUCUGAUUCUCACAAAUUUCCUGAUUGUACCAUAAGCUCACUAUAACAAACCAGAACUCCAUCCCAUUCAAUCUUUACAUAUUUUUUGUUCCAGUUCAAAAUAUUGGCGCCGUUUUUUAGAACCGUCGUCUGAUUCUCACAAAUUUCCUGUUCAUAUUCUUUUGUUUUCAAAAUAUCUAAUUGAAAUCACGAUCUCUCUUAAGAGAAUAGAUAAUAUCUGAUGUAGCUUUUGAAGUCACCACCGAUGUAUUAACUCUAACAUCACCCAUUUACUUUCAUGUACAUAUUAUUAAUGGUGGAUUGUCUAUCAAGUAAGAAGUGAGUUAAAAGCAUCCAGCGAGAAACUCUUCAAGGCUGACAAUGGUAAUUAGGAGGGAAAAUGGAGGUAGACCUAUCUUAGGGUUUCAAGACCGCAAAAAAGUUACCGGAGCUCAUAAUGUGACGCUUCCACUAGCCAUAACUGAUAUCUUUGCAAAUCACUUAGUGUCAAUGAUCUUUAUCGAUGAUGGUAGUUUUUGUGGCCUUAUAUACCUAACAUCUUCAGGAGGUUAGGAUUACAUAGAAGAAUCUCAUGUUGUGUGAAGGUAGGAAUAUUGGGUUGUAAUUACUAAACUAAUCAUAAUAAGAUUAUAUAUGUUUAGAAGAAAGAGUUAGGAACAAUCCAUAUGAUGAAUUAGAAUAAGGAGUUAUUCACCCAAUUAAUAAAACUCGAGAGCUGUAUUAGAUACACUUGGAAGGAAUUCCUAUCGAAAUAACUAAGUUUUGUGUAAUCACCCUACCGCUGACUUAAAAUAAAAUGAAAUUUGGAUCUAGAUCCACUAGAGAAUCUUCCAACAGAAUCAUUCGAACCAAAUAUUGAGGGUAAUUUUGUUUGAGUAAAAUAGUGGAAGCAUACUUAAUUGAAGACCUAAUUCAAUAUAUUUUUUUAAUGAUACUUAUGUCUUCAAAUUUUUUGAAAUGUAGAUUACCAUGUCAGCAAACACUUUGAACAUCAUUUAGUGAUAAAUCCUUGAAAAAGAAAAUUUCUCUAGGACAUAUUUUUUAGGUUGACAUCGAAACUGGAGGAUUUUCCUCAAACAUGAAAAAAAGAUUUAUUUCUUAGAGAAAGUUGUUCCUAAAGAUGAUUCGUCCAGUUCUACUCUUAGGGCUGAAAAUUCUGCUUAUAAGAAACAUGUUUAUGAUGCCUUAGAAAUUUUAUGCCUCAUGCUUGCUACCAUGAAAUUUGAAUUGCAAAAGGAACAUGAGAAUGUGUCAUAGUUUUAUAUAAUUGAACACUUAAAGAGGUUGUAUCAAGAACAAGUUAGGCAUGAGAGGUUUGAAGUAUCCAAAUCCCUUUUUCAAGGCAAGGUAGUUGUGAGAGUCCAAGUAGGUCCCCAUGUACUUAAGAUGAUUUAGUGUGUGAAGAACCUUGACAUUGCCUAAGAGCUUUAGUCAGUUUGUCCUUAAUUUCAAUAUGAAAGACAUGGACAAUUUUUUUGCCAAACCUAUUAGACAUGUUGAGAAAUGUUGAGUAGAAUUUGAAAUCAAAAGGGAAGACCAUUCUCAUGAUCAAUAAUGGAAAGAAGCAAAACAAAGGCCUACCAAGCAGGGUAAUGAAAGGAAGGGUAAUGAAGUUUUCAGGCCCAAAUCUACUACUUGUGCUUUGAAGCCUACCUGAGGUAUAACUAAGUAAGGCAUUUACUUCUAAUGUGGUAAGACUGGACAUUGAAAGAGAAACUUCCAAAGUACCAGAAAUAUCAAAAGAAUGAAGUAGAGACUUUAACUUCGGGUAUUUUUGUUAUAGAGAUAAAUUUAUCUAAUUCUGCAUCAUGGGUAUUGGAUACUGGAUGUGGUUCUCACAUUUGUAUUAAAAAGGAGUAGAGUAUUAGCAAAAGGUGAAGUUGACUUACAAGUUUACAAUGGAGAAAAUGUUGUUGCUUUAGCCGUAUGAAUUUAGUUUGAGAACUGAUAUUACAUACCUUUAACUAGAAGAAAUAUUAGUUUCGUUUCUUGUUUGGACAAGUUUGGCUUUUCAUUUAUAAUAAAGAAUAAUUGUUUCUUUAUUUAUUUAAAUUAUAUAUUUUAUGCUACUGCACAAAUGAACAAUGAAUUGUAUGUCAUUGAUCUUGAAAUUUCAGUUUAUAAUAUUAAUAUAAAAUAAUGAAACCUAACAAGUUAAAUAUGACUUAUGUACUUGUCAAAAAGUACUGGUGUGCAUGGUAUCCCUACGCAUGUAAGGGAUACUCGGAGGCCUUAGUAAAUGGCGAUAGUUAGGGAUUGGCCACUGCAGGGAGAAGCCGUGUUUGGUGAUGUUUAUGGUGUUUAUGGUGAUAAGAGAGGUCAGCUCAGAUUAGGUGAGAGGCUCUGUAUUAUGUGUUAUACUGUUUAAGUUAUGAUUUGUCUUUUAUCCUUAAAGGGUCAUAUAUUUAUAUAGGCUAUUAGGGCCUAGUGUUUAGGAAACCCUAAGAAGUAGUAACCCAUGCCCCUUAACUAGGGGAGAAUGUUGGAAACAUAUUUUUUGAGAAGUCAUGGUAUUACUAACUGUAUAUGACUAAGGAAGGGGUAGGGGUAUGAUACACAUUGUAUGCCCUAAAGGCGAGCCCAUUAUGCUCCAUAAAGGUAACGCCUGAGCGAUGCCUUACUAGGAGAGGACCCUGACGUCACCCUUAUUAGGGACUCUUACAAAUACAACACUACAGAGUCCCUCAAGAGCUUACAAAGUGUGAAGUGUUUUAAGGCUUGUUUUAGGUUUUGUACCAUGGUCUAGGGUGAGUCCUUUGGUUGAAGACAAUCUUCUUGAUGAAAGGUGAUUCGCUCAACUAAAUGCGUCCUUCUUAAUGGGAGGCGUGUCCCUCAACUUUAGGGUGAGUCCCCUAGUUGAAGGAGAUCUUUUUAAUUGGGGAUGAUCCCCUUAGUUAGAGGUGAGUCACAACCACACUUCCAGAUGUCUCAUGUUUAGCUAGGAUGUCAGUUGGGGAUGUCAAACAUCAAUCACUCAGAUGUACAUGUUUGUUUCUAUUAAAUGUAAGUAAUGAUGGCCUAUUUUUCAAGACACUAAACGUCAGUGCCAUGUGCUAGAAGUGUGCUGAGUUUUUUAAAAUUUGGAGGGAGCCUAAAAGGCUUGUUUAGUGCUCUUGUGCUUUCAAUUCCCUUAUAAAAGCUCCUCCUUUUAUUUUAUUGCUUAUUUUAUUCUUACGACUUCUACAAACUCUUCCACAAUCUUCCCAACUUCCCUAUAAGCUCUUGGUUCCUUGUUUUCAACCUUCUCAGGUAUAAAAUUUUAUUUUCCUUUAUUUUGUAGUAGUUAUGAGUAAGGAUUGUAAGGAAAGGCUCGAAAUAUUGUUUUGGCUAGAGUCAAGUUGUAGUAUUUGAAGAUCGUAACCAUCCACUUAAUGCUUGUGAUAGUGGUGGUGAUUUCUUUUUAUUCUUCCAUUUGCUCAAGAAAAAGAGAUAAUGGUUGCCCCUUUUGUCGUGUCUAAGGAGGCCAAGGACAUUGGGCCUUUUUAUGUUUCUGACGAGCAAAUCCCUUUGUUUUGAACAUAAAUGGAGAUUUCUUCUUCAUAAGAUAAAUGGAUGGUGAUAUUGGAGGCAUGUUAACCGUAAGAAAGGGUUACUAUAGAAGUUCCUUAUGAUUGUCCCUCUUCCUAUUUCUACUUCUAUCUUCCAUUUAUUAAGGAUAUGGGGAUCUUUUUCCCCAUUUCCUCUUUUAUUGUGGAAGUCUUAAACGUCCUUAAUAUAGAGCCUUCCUAACUACCUCCUAACAAUUGCAAUUUUUUCAGGGCCGUUCAGAUAGUAUGUAAAGGUCAAAAGUUUUCCCCUAAUGUGGGGAUAUAUUUCUUAUUUUAUGCUACCUGGCCUUCAAAAGAAGGUUGGGUGUCCCUAUGCAGUAUGCCAGGAAGGGCCUAUUUUAGGCCUCACUCAAAUCAUUAAAAAAAACUAGAGAGACAUAUUCUCCCGAGUAAGGGGCGAUAAGACUAUCUCGUUGUGGUGGGGGCUAAUAUGCUAGUAAGUACCUUACACUGAGAGAGGAGAGGAUAGUUCGCCACUUGAAGAAGUUUGAGGUUAUGGAUUUGCACACAUACUGAUAUGUGACUGAAGCGAGGUGAUUACCUAGGUAAGUUUCGAAUAAUCUGGAAUUUUUUAUGGGUGUUUCCAAAUAGUGCAUGUGACCUUUCUAUUUGUCUUUCAUAUCAAAUGGAAAAGAUUACUCUCGAGAAGUGAAUGAAAAGAUGGGAAAAGAUACAAUUUGCUCGUGAGGAGACUGACAACCCCAAAGUCAUCCAUAAGGCUUUGUUGUCAAAGGUGGGAAGAGGAAAACCGAGGGCCCUCCCCCGGAUUCUCUCAAUGUGAUGGCCCAAAAAGUAGAAAAUGGAUUUUCACAACUGUUGUCAAAGAUAAUAUCAUCUCGCCUAUUUCAUGAGACGUGAAUACUAUAAGGCCGUAUGAUAACGAGGCUCCACCAACCCGAUGUUUUGUGGAGUGAUGUUGGAUUUGAUGUUAUCCAGUUUAUAGGUUCCUAUCUCCCCUUUUCAGAGAAGUUCCCUGGUGAUUAUAAGGCUCUUCAAUAUAAGUCACAUUUUGCGCUUAUUGGCAUGAAGGAUAACCUUUUAUUGAGGACGUUAGUUUUGGAGGAUGUUGAACAGAGGAGGCGAUACCAAGCUAAAAAAGAGUUGAUGGUGAAGCUAAAAAAAUAUGAUGAUGACUACAAAGAAAUCCAGAGGUUAUUGGAGGCCUUGUAGAAGGACAAAGGAACAUGGGAGAAAAAGAUGGUUGUUGUGGAGGUCGAGGAUACAAAGAUUGCUACUAAGGAUAAAUCUCUGAGAACAUAUAUGGAAAAUGCUCUUAGUUCCAAGAAGGAUUUGGAGGAUGAGGUGUCAGAUCUCAAUGAUGAUCUGAUGUCAAUCUCUGAUGUUUAUUUUCAACGGAAGAAAUAAUAGGUUUCUUUAUUCGAUCCUAAACUGGACUUGAGAAAGUUAGACUUCCUUAAUGUUUUCCAUAAUGUUCAACUGGUGGAUGAUAAGGUGUACCUCUCGGAGCCCAAUGGUUCUUCUACAUUAAUUAAUGCUCAGGAUGUUAGUGUGGCGAUGGAAUCAAGUGGAUCAGAAGCUCCCCAUCCAGAGGAUGCCUUCACAAAAGAGACAUCUCCAGAGGAGGAGUAAUGAUUGAGUUUUUUUGUUAUGUUCUUUGGCUCUUAGUUGCCUUUGUUGUAUCUCUUUUCCCCUGCGAGGGAUUUUUGUAAAAACUAAGACAACAAAGCUAGAAUUUUUAUCUCCUCAAAAGACGACAAGGAUCCCAUUUAAGGAUCUAACAUCUUCAUUUCCUCUAGGGAGGUUUUAUCCAUAACUAAUAGUUUCUUUAUAAAAAGUCACGAAUAAUAAAUGUAACUUAUUUAGAAUAAUAAAAUUAGGGGCCUAGUUAAAAUCUCUCGUCCCAUAUGAGGUACAGUGGGAAAAGACUGCACCCUAGAAAAUAACAUGCCUUUACAAACGGCAGAGAUGUAGUAAUCUCCUAAUAUGGAUGGACAUGCCCCUUUGCCACCCUUACCCUUAUACUAUUUUUCACUCAUUCACUAACUUGGGUGUUGGCGUGUUAACCUUGUAGGUUCAUCCCCACUUCGUUGUACCAUAAGCUCACUAUAACAAACCAGAACUCCAUCCCAUUCAAUCUUUACAUAUUUUUUGUUCCAGUUCAAAAUAUUGGCGCCGUUUUUUAGAACCGUCGUCUGAUUCUCACAAAUUUCCUGAUUGUACCAUAAGCUCACUAUAACAAACCAGAACUCCAUCCCAUUCAAUCUUUACAUAUUUUUUGUUCCAGUUCAAAAUAUUGGCGCCGUUUUUUAGAACCGUCGUCUGAUUCUCACAAAUUUCCUGUCCAUAUUCUUUUGUUUCCAAAGUAUGUAAUUGAAAUCACGAUCUCUCUUGAAAUAAUAGAUAAUGUCUGAUGUAGCUUUUGAAGUCACCGCCGAUGUAUUGACUCUAAGAUCACCCAUUUACUUUCAUGUAUAUCUGAUUAAUGGUGGAUUGUCUAUCAAGUAAGAAGUGAGUUAAAAGCAUCCAGCGAGAAACUCUUCAAGGUCGAAAAUGGUAAUUAGGAGGGAAAUCGGAGGUAGACCUAUCUUAGGGUUUCAAGACCGCGAAAAAACUAGAGCUCAUAAUGUGACGCUUUCAAUAGCCAUAACUGAUAUCUUUGCAAAUCAUUUAGUGUCAAUGAUCUUUAUCGAUGAUGGUAGUUUUUGUGGCCUUAUAUACCUAACAUCUUCAGGAGGUUAGGAUUACAUAGAAGAAUCUAAUGUUGUAUGAAGGUGGGAAUAUUGGGUUUUAAUUACCAAACUAAUCAUAAUAAGAUUAUAUAUGUUUAGAAGAAAGAGUUAGGAACAGUCCAUAUGAUGAAUUAGAAUAAGGAGUUAUUCACCCAAUUGAUAAAACUUGAGAGCUGUAUUAGAUACACUUGGAAGGAAUUCCUACCUAAAUAACUAAGUUUUGUAUAAUCACCCUACCGCUGACUUAAAAUAAAAUGAAAUUUGGAUCUAGAUCCACUAGAAAAUCUUCCAACAGAAUCAUUCGAAUCAAAUGUUGAGGGUAAUUUGGUUUGAGUAAAAUAGUGGGAGCAUACUAAUUAAAUAACUAAUUCGAUAUGCUUUUUUAAUGAUACUUAUCUCUUCAAAAAUUUUGAAAUGUAGAUUACUAUGUCAGCAAACACUUCGACCAACAUUUAGCGAUAAAUCCUUGAUAAAGAAAAAUUCUCUAGGACAUAUUUUGUAGGUUGACACCGAAAUUGGAGGAUUUUCCUUAAACAUGAAAAAAAAGUUUUAUUUCUUAGAGAAAGUUGUUCCUAAAUAUGAUUCGUCCAGUUCUACUCUUAGGGCUGAAAAUUAUGCUUAUAAGAAUCAUGUUUAUGAUGCCUUCGAAAUUUUAUGCCUCAUGGUUGCUACCAUGAAAUUUGAAUUGCAAAAGGAACAUGAGAACGUGUCAUCAUUUGAUAUAAUUGAAAACUUAAAGAGGUUGUGUCAAGAACAGGCUAGGCAUGGGAGGUUUGAAGUAUCCAAAGCCCUUUUUCAAGGCAAGGUAGUUGUGAGAGUCCAUGUAGAUCCCCAUGUACUUAAGAUGAUUUAGUGUGUGAAGAACCUUGACAUUGCCUAAGAGCUUUAGUCAGUUUGUCCUUAAUUUCAAUAUGAAGGAUAUGGACAAAAAAAUUGCCAAACCUACUAGACAUGUUGAGAAAUGUUGAGUAGAAUAUGAAAUCAAAAGCGAAGACCAUUCUCAUGAUCAAUAAUGGAAAGAAGAAAAACAAAGGCCUACCAAGCAGGGGAAUAAAAGGAAGGGUAAUGAAGUUUUCAGGCCCAAAUCUACUACUUGUGCUUUUAAGCCUAUCUGAGGUAUAACUAAGUAAGGCAUUUACUUCUAUUGUGGUAAGACUAGACAUUGAAAGAGAAACUUCCCAAAGUACCAGAAAUAUAAAAAGAAUGAAGUAGAUACUUCAACUUUGGGUAUUUUUGUUAUAGAGAUAAAUUUAUGUAAUUCUGCAUCAUGGGUAUUGGAUACUGGAUGUGGUUCUCACAUUUCUAUUAAAAAGGAGUAGAGUAUUUGCAAAAGGUGAAGUUGACUUACAAGGUUACAAUGGAGAAAAUGUUGUUGCUUUAGCCGUAUGAACUUAGUUUGAGAACUGAUAUUACAUACCUUUAAUUAGAAGAAAUAUUAGUUUCGUUUCUUGUUUGGACAAGUUUGGCUUUUCAUUUAUAAUAAAGAACAAUUGUUUCUCUAUUUAUUUAAAUUAUAUAUUUUAUGCUACUGCACAAAUGAACAAUGAAUUGUAUGUCAUUGAUCUUGAAAUUUCAAUUUAUAACAUUAAUAUAAAAUAAUGAAACCUAACAAGUUAAAUAUGACUUAUGUACUUGUCAAAAAGUACUGGUGUGCAUGGUAUCCCUACGCAUGUAAGGGAUACUCGGAGGCCUUAGUAAAUGACGAUGGUUAGGGAUUGGCCAAGCAGGGAGAAGCCGUGUUUGGUGAUGUUUAUGGUGUUUAUGGUGAUAAGAGAGGUCAGCUCACAUUAGGUGAGAGGCUCUGUAUCAUGUGUUAUACUGUUUAUGUUAUGAUCUGUCUUUUAUCCUUAAAGGGUCAUAUAUUUAUAUAGGCUAUUAGGGCCUAGUGUUUAGGAAACCCUGAGAAGCAGUAACCCAUCCCCCUUAACUAGGGGAGAAUGUUGGAAACAUAUUUUCCGAGAAGUCAUGGUAUUACUAACUCUAUAUGACUAAGGAAGGGGUAGGGGUAUGAUACACAUUGUAUGCCCUAAAGGCGAGCCCAUUAUGCUCCAUAAAGGUAGCGCCUGAGCGAUGCCUUACUAGGAGAGGACCCUGACGUCACCCUUAUUAGGGACUCUUACAAAUAUAACACUACAGAGUCCCUCAAGAGCUUACAAAGUGUGAAGUGUUUUAAGGCUUGUUUUAGGCUUGUACCAUGGUCUAGGGUGAGUCCUUUGGUUGAAGACAAUCUUCUUGAUGAAAGGCGAUUCACUCAACUAAAUGUGUCCUUCUUAAUGGGAGGCGUGUCCCUCAACUUUAGGGUGAGUCCCCUAGUUGAAGGAGAUCUUUUUAAUUGGGGAUGAUCCCCUUAGUUAGAGGUGAGUCACGACCACACUUCCAGAUGUCUCAUGUUUAGCUAGGAUGUCAGUUGGGGAUGUCAAACAUCAAUCACUCAGAUGGACAUGUUUGUUUCUAUUAAAUGUAAGUAAUGAUGGCCUAUUUUUCAAGACACUAAACGUCAGUGCCAUGUGCUAGAAGUGUGUUGAGUUUUUUAAAAUUUGGAGGGAGCCUAAAAGGCUUGUUUAGUGCUCUUGUGCUUUCAAUUCCCUUAUAAAAGCUCCUCCUUUUAUUUUAUUGCUUAUUUUAUUCUUACGACUUCUACAAACUCUUCCACAAUCUUCCCAGCUUCCCUAUAAGCUCUUGGUUCCUUGUUUUCAACCCUCUCAGGUAUAAAAUUUUCUUUUCCUUUAUUUUGUAGUAGUUUUGAGUAGGGAUUGUAAGGAAAGGCUCGAAAUAUUAUUUUGGAUAGAGUCAAGUUGUAGUAUUUGAAGAUCGUAACCAUUCACUUAAUGCUUGUGAUAGUGGUGGUGAUUUCUUUUUGUUCUUCCGUUUGCUCAAGAAAAAAGAGAUAAUGGUUGCCCCUUUUGUCGUGUCUAAGGAGGCCAAGGACAUUGGCCAUUUUUAUGUUUCUGACGAGCAAAUCCCUUUGUUUUGAACAUAAAUGGAGAUUUCUUCUUCAUAAGAUAAAUGGAUGGUGAUAUUGGAGGCAUGUUAACCGUAAGAAAGGGUUACUAUAGAAGUUCCUUAUGAUUGUCCCUCUUCCUAUUUCUACUUCUACCUUCCGUUUAUUAAGGAUAUCGGGAUCUUUUUCCCCAUUUCCUCUUUUAUUGUGGAAGUCUUAAACGUCCUUAAUAUAGAAUAAUAAAACAUAACAAGUUAAAUAUGACUUAUGUACUUGUCAAAAAGUACUGGUGUGCAUGGUACCUGUCGCAUCUCGCAAAAUACGAUUCCUCGCGAUGGUCGCGGAAAAAAGUAGUUCGAACAGAGUCGCCACCGAACUUUUUUUAUCCUAAUGAAGCAAUAGGAAAAUAUCGAUAAAAACCUCUGAAAAACAGAAUAAUGGUCGUCGCAACCAUAUUCGGGUUCGGGAGUCGAUUACGCAAGGGAAAAGUAUUAGCACCCCUAAUGUCCGUUGUACUCAACGGGACCCUUUUAGUUUAAUUUGUGAUUUGAAUGUUAGCUAAUGUUGUUUGUUUUCUUCGAGUGAUAAAAAUAUUGAAAAGUGAUGGAUGGAAACCUCAGAAGGGGGGAAAAGGGAGGUUUUUUAUUAGUGUGCUCGCCAAGAUCUCGCAAUUUCGUGCAUACGUAUCCAUAUGGUGCAAUAAGGAAAUUAGAGCAUUCGUAGUUCGGGGAACUACAGUUUGUUGGUUUCUUUUAGUGAACAAUUGUUUAGAUCGUGUUCUAAAGGCUAAACAUUGGCUUGUUUACUCUCGGUGGAGGCUUAAGCACUAGUUUGUUAUGCAUAUUAGAAAGGAUUAAACAGUGUUCUUUCCGAAAAGAGUUUUAAUCACACUGGGGUGACUGUAACACCUCAAAAUUUGCCCUCCUCUCUUGGGACUAGCUUAACAUAUUGCAUUGCAUUUCUUAGGUCAUUAGUCAUUAGCAUGUUGCAUAUCAUGUGGCUACAUUGAGCAAGUCAUCCUCCUAAGAUGCCCUCCUCUCUUGGGACUAGCUUAACAUAUUGCAUUGCAUUUCUUAGGUCAUUAGUCAUUAGCAUGUUGCAUAUCAUGUGGCUACAUUGAGCAAGUCAUCCUCCUAAGUCUUGAUCAGAAGAUAAUAGGUUGGUGUAUGCAAGCCUGAGGGUUUCAUUGAUUGAAUUGAUCAUUAAUCAUCUGAGGAUGUGUGGUACAAAUUAGGGUUUCUUGAUUCUCAAGGAGAUUGAUCUUCAUCUUGGUUGCAAUGAUACAUCAUCAUCAUCAUCAUGGUUUUGAUAUCAUCCAAGAGAUUGAUCAGAUACUUUGGGAUUAGGGUUUUGACCACUGGUCAACCCUAAUCAGUUGAAUCAUCUGCAUUGUGCUAAUCAGGGCUUGGCAAGGAGAUGGGGUUUUCAAUGGAUAUGGGGAUCAUCAUGUGAUUAUAUUGAGCUUAUGGAAGCUAGGGUUUCAUCAUUGAGCCAUUUCAUCAGGAGAUUGAAGCUCAACUUGAUCAGUGCAUAGCCAGAUUCAUCUAUAAGUCAGAAAAGUCAACUGUGGUCAACUGUGCCUAAGAUGAUGGAUUUGGAGGUGGGAGAGGGUUAGAGACACUUCAUUCAUGUCUAAACAAGUUUCAUUUGACAUUUCAAACAUCAAGAAUGAAGAAAAUAAAGUCAGAUGGAAAGUUUCCAAAAAUUCGUCCACUGGACAUUAACCUUUGACGGUUUUUACCUUAGUUUUUCACCUCAAAAUUACGUGUCCAAAAAUGCUUCAAAUGAAAUUUUGUUCAACAUGAAAGUUGUAGAUCUUGCUCUCACCUUUCCCAAAAGUCCAAGAACCCUCAUUUCUCAUGUGUGGUUGGCAAGUUAUGAUCAAAUCAUUUUCAGAAAAUGUUGAAAUUCAAGAGGCCAUAACUUUUGAAUGGAAAGGCCAAAUUGGGUGAUUCUUUUUUGAGCAAGUCACAUUUGAUGUGUACUAUCAUGAUGCAUCAUCACAUUUCAUCAAAAAUCAUCCUAGCAAAAGGUCAUUUUUCAAGUGUUCAUUUUAAAAAUUGGUGGGAAAAAUAGUGAAUUUUCAAAAUACAAGGCAUUUGCAUACAAAACCUUUUCUAACACAUCAUAAGCAUCAAAUAUGACUUGCUCUAACUGGUUUUGUACUGUUGCAUUGGCUGCAAUUGGAAAAGGGCAUUUUGGCCAAUUCAUGAAAAUUCAUUUUUGCUUAAUCACUUCCAAUUUGCCUAAUUGUGAUUAACACAUGGAUUAGCACAUGGUAUAAAGCAUUAAUCAUAACAGAAACUGAAUAAUCACAUUUCAUUUCUCAGAUCUAACAAACUUUUCAUCCAAAAACCUCUCAAUUUUCUUCAAACUUCUUCACACUUUUUCGCCAUUUUCCAUUGAAUUGCUUCAUUCUUUUUGCUGUUUCUUGUGUGAUCUCUCUUCUGCAGGACUUUGUGUACAUCUGUUUCACCAAAUCGUGGCCAAAGCAUUGAGGAAUUGGAACUGUUGAAAUCUCACUCAUCCAUGGCAUCUUGAGGAUUCUUCAAUCUGGAGCAUAGUUGAGCUACAAUACAUACUUCAUUCAGCUUCUACAUCAUCGAGCAUCAUCUGUUUUGGCAUUAGAGACCUUGAAUUCACCAAAUUCAACAGCUGCUAUCUUCAAAGGUUAGAUUUCGAUUUCAAUAAUUGCUAAAAUCAUGAUAUGGCUUGUGUAGAUCUAAGUUUGUAGAGCACGUUGCAACUUGUGGUUUUGAUUUCCAUGCUGAAUUGAAUGAGAUAUUUGGAUUUGAACAUUGGAAGGUGAAACUAUUUUUGCUCGAUCCGUGAAGCAUGGUUAGAGUUAGGUCGAAUGCUUGUUAGUUUUGUGAUCUAGGUUGAACGUCGGUCAUUUUGAUAUAUGGCAUGAUAAUUUUAGUGAAAAUUUGUUCAUGUGGAUUUUCUGGUGAUGAACACUUUGAAUGAUGAAGAACUCGUGUCCAGGAAGCGUUUUGAUCUUGUUUUGCCAUGCUUCGCGUUUGAAUUCUGUUUACCGCGCCUUAGAGCCAAUCACACGCUGCCAUGNNNNNNNNNNNNNNNNNNNNNNNNNNNNNNNNNNNNNNNNNNNNNNNNNNNNNNNNNNNNNNNNNNNNNNNNNNNNNNNNNNNNNNNNNNNNNNNNNNNNNNNNNNNNNNNNNNNNNNNNNNNNNNNNNNNNNNNNNNNNNNNNNNNNNNNNNNNNNNNNNNNNNNNNNNNNNNNNNNNNNNNNNNNNNNNNNNNNNNNNNNNNNNNNNNNNNNNNNNNNNNNNNNNNNNNNNNNNNNNNNNNNNNNNNNNNNNNNNNNNNNNNNNNNNNNNNNNNNNNNNNNNNNNNNNNNNNNNNNNNNNNNNNNNNNNNNNNNNNNNNNNNNNNNNNNNNNNNNNNNNNNNNNNNNNNNNNNNNNNNNNNNNNNNNNNNNNNNNNNNNNNNNNNNNNNNNNNNNNNNNNNNNNNNNNNNNNNNNNNNNNNNNNNNNNNNNNNNNNNNNNNNNNNNNNNNNNNNNNNNNNNNNNNNNNNNNNNNNNNNNNNNNNNNNNNNNNNNNNNNNNNNNNNNNNNNNNNNNNNNNNNNNNNNNNNNNNNNNNNNNNNNNNNNNNNNNNNNNNNNNNNNNNNNNNNNNNNNNNNNNNNNNNNNNNNNNNNNNNNNNNNNNNNNNNNNNNNNNNNNNNNNNNNNNNNNNNNNNNNNNNNNNNNNNNNNNNNNNNNNNNNNNNNNNNNNNNNNNNNNNNNNNNNNNNNNNNNNNNNNNNNNNNNNNNNNNNNNNNNNNNNNNNNNNNNNNNNNNNNNNNNNNNNNNNNNNNNNNNNNNNNNNNNNNNNNNNNNNNNNNNNNNNNNNNNNNNNNNNNNNNNNNNNNNNNNNNNNNNNNNNNNNNNNNNNNNNNNNNNNNNNNNNNNNNNNNNNNNNNNNNNNNNNNNNNNNNNNNNNNNNNNNNNNNNNNNNNNNNNNNNNNNNNNNNNNNAUGAACUUAGAUCUCAAUCAAGCCAUAUAAGAUCAGGCAUGUGAGAAUCGAAAAUCUAGACCAUUAUGAUGAUGCAGAGUGUGAUUUCGCCAGUCAAGUCCAAAAGCGAAAAGCAAUACUGAUGUGACAGGAAAGAUGAAUGGAGAGUUCUUUUGUUCGAAAACAACUCCGUUGUAGACAUCGUCAAUGCGCAUAUUAUGUUCUGAUGCACAAGUCUCCAAUCAGAUCUUUGGCCAAGUUUUGAUCAAACAGUUCUUCAAGGUCUGCCGAAGAGAGAAUCACACAAGAAAAACGAGCGUUGAGUCGUCCCUCUGCUCACACCACUGUGUUGAUGCAUUGGGAUAUUAACCCAAGAUCUUGUACAGUUGUACAGUUGAGUCAGAGUCAUGAGUGUAGAAGGGUUCCCACUUUCUGAACCCACACUUCUUUGUCUGAAGCUCUCCCUGGCCAGGGAUAAGAGUUGUGAGGCACACCCCUCACUUCCACUUCAUCUGGCUUCACCCUGACUCUCAAUGUCAGGGUUAAGAGCUAACAUCACCCCGACACAGUUGUGUUGCUUUUGCAACUUAACCCUUGAUUGAGCCCAUCUGUCUGUAUAUAGUGUGUGCUAACUGCGAAUGUUUGAUUUGCUUUGUGUAUGCUUGCAUGCUUUGCUUUUUCCUGGUUAGGAUUAGCUUGCUGUUGUGCCAGUAGAUAGAAACCAUAACAUAGGGCAAUGAUGCAUGAUAACAUCUAGGCUCGAGUCCAGCUCCCUAGUAGUGUGUCUCCCUUUGUAUCUGGUUAGAAUUUCUUUCUCGUUCAGGGGAACUACGUCGCCCUAGUCCAGCUCCCUAGUAGUGUGUCUCCCUUUGUAUCUGGUUAGAAUUUCUUUCUCGUUCAGGGGAACUACGUCGCCCUGAUCCUCAUACCAGAUGAGGUACGUAGGCAGGAGACCGUGCGAGGUCUCUUCGGGCACCCUUUUUCUUUUUGUGUGUGUUUGCUUGACAGUUGCUAGGCUCGAGUUCCCGACUCCUUAGUAGCUUGUUGCUUGUUUGUUCUUGCGUGUGUAGGAGAUGGAUGUAAGCCCAGCCAUUGGCAUUCCGUAUCCUCUUGUUGUGUGCUUGGAGUCCGGUAUAAGUCCAUCAAGUGGCAUCUGGUUUCCAGCGUGGGUCUGUUUGGUUCGGAAGCUGAUGUAAGUCCAGCGAUUGGAGUUCGGGUUCCAAGUUUGCCUGUGUUUGUGUGUGUUUUGUUUGGCGUGCGUGAGCCGAACUACGGUAGCUCUGAUUCUCGUUCCAGACGAGAUACGUAGGCAUAGGAUGCGAUAUCCUAGCGAGCCCUCUUCCCCCUUUUCCCACCUGUGUUGUUUCAGUGUGUGUGUGUAUGAUGUUUGUUUUAGCAACCUUUUCUUUCAUUUAGAGCGUGGAUCCCGUUGAGUACGACGGAUGCGUAGGGGUGCUAAUACCUUCCCUUCGCAUAACCGACUCCCGAUCCCAUUCUCUUUGGUCGCGAGACCAGGCUUUUCCCAGGUUUACUUCGAGCGUUUCCUUUCCCUUUUUUUGGGAUAAAUAACGCGCGGUGGCGGCUCUGUGUUGUUUUGCUUUUAGCCCGCCGGUUGUUUUUCUCGUAUGCGACAGUGACAAGUUGGAUUAAUUUGUUGGAUGUUUUGUUUGAUUGGUUUCGAUCGCACGGGGGCAAGGACAGAUAGAUUUGAUGUGUUAAGAUAUUAUUGUUGGACGACGAUUACUCAGAUAGUCGAGUAAGACAACUCGUAUCUAAGGCGCUAGACCAUCUCCAUUUUCAUCCUUAAUUAUGAAAGGAUUGGAUAAUGUUAAGGAGUUUUAAGUGGAUAACGAUUACUCGGAUAGUCGAGUACGACAACUCGUAUCCUAAUAGUCGAGGAGAGGAAUCGAAGGCUCUAGACCAUCUCCCUUUUCAUCCUUAAUUGUAAACGGAGUUGAUAAUGGUUAAGGAUAUUUUAAGUGGAUGACGAAUACUCGGAUAGCCGAGUAAGACAACUCGUAUCCUAAUAGUCGGGAAAGGGAAUAGAAGACUCUAGACCACUUUCUUUUUCAUCUUUAAUUAAUUAUGAAAAUAUAUCUGUGUAUGGUUGAUGUAUUUUAGAUAAACGACAAGUACUCGAAUGGUUGAGUAAGACAACUCAUAUCCAGGUAUUUGAGGAGAGGAAUCGAAGGCUCUAGACCAUCUCCCUUCUUGUAUAGUUUAUUGUGAAAAUGAUUUGAUUAAGUUAUAAGUUUGUGGAAAAAAUGACAAUUGUUUGACUAACCGAGUAAGAGAACUCGUAUUCAAACAAUCGAGGAGAGGAGUUGAAGGCUUAAAACCAUUUACCUUUUCAUUUAGUUUAUUAUAAGAAUGUUUUGAUUUAAUCGGGUUUAGAAGUUUGUGAAGAAACGACGAUUGUCUAACUAACCGAGUAAGAGAACUCGUACUCAAACAAAUGAGGAGAGGAGUUGAAGGCUCAAAAACCAUCUCCCUUUUCAUUUCCAUAUGGAGUUUUAAUUGUAAUUAGGUGGAUAGAAAGGAAAACUAUUUGACUAGCCGAGUAAGAGAACUCGUAUUCAAAUAAUCGAGGAGAGGAGUUGAAAACUCAAAAGCACCCCCCCUUUUCAUUUCCAAAUGAAAUGGUAUUUAAUCGUGAUUAGGUGUUUUAAUUGAGUUUAAAUAAAAAUACUCGAUAUUGGAUCGAGGUUUUAAAUUUGUGUUUUGUGAAUAAAUUGGAUUUUAUUUAGUGAAUCAAUCAUCUACUCGAUUAAUUAAAGUCGAAUAGGUCUCAUUGUAAGAAAUCCCAAAAGUAAGCUAUGUGAGGUUUAUGGCGAUGCGUAAAAGCAAUCGACUUACAAGGGUAUUUGGAAAAUGGGCUCGACAUUGAAUCGAGAAUUGCGUGAUUUAUUGGUUUUAUCAUGGUUUUGUAUUGAUGAUGAAAUGGAGUGACAUCGGGCUUGUUUUAUGAAAUGGAAGAUGAUGGUGAAGUAAAUCGGUUCGUUUUUUUUAUUAACAAAAUUAAUUGAUUAAAAUUCAAUUAGGUCAUCUAAUUAAGGUAAUUAAAAUCAAUUAUCAAAAUUAUUUGAUUAAGAAUUAAUAUAAUUAAAUAAUAAAGUUAAUUAAAAUUAGUUAACAAAAUCAUCUUAAUUUAAUCAAAACUUUAAUUAAUUGAUUUUAAAAGGAAACAAGUGACAAUAUUGAAUGUAAAAUAAUUGAAUUGAAUCGGUGUGCUCAAAACCGGUUUGUGCAAAAUGACAACACAAUUAAUGUCAUUCGCAAUAUCAUAACACGGUGAAAUGCUCUAUUAAUUUAUUGAGACUUUGGUGGCAUAACGACACUUAAAAGUCGAAUCCACGAAUUAUAAGUUUGAUUAAGCAACGCAAAGAGAAGCAACAACCACAUGGGAUGGUUUGAGACAGGGACUUCGCCUAGAAUAACAGACAGAGGGACCACAUCCAAAAUUUCAUCAUCGAGAAAGUUCAUGGAAGAAGUGCUAUCCUUGUGAGUAGGCUUAGUAGUUUUUGAACCAGAUGGAGUUUGAUGUUGUGACAUCUUGUUGUUUUUGUGGAAAAAUUUCAGUUGCCCUAGCAGAGGAGUUUGAGGAAGAAGCAGGGAGUUGGAAAUGUUUGAGUAGAGGUUGCGUGUGGAAAGGUAAUAGAUGGUAUUUCCAAGAAUAGGUGAUUAUUUACCAUAAAGGGGGCGCUUUAUUUUAAGUAAGCAGACAAUAAUUUGAUUACCUUUUCCACUCCAUAUUAAUUGCAACAAAUUCUCAUAAAUACAAAUCCCUAAUUUCCCUCUUAGAAAUUCAAAUUGAUUUGCAUCCAAGGCCUUUGUAAAAAUAUCAGCUAACUGCAUCUCAGUAACAACAUGCUUCAGGGAUACAAUUUUAUUUUCCAUGAGUUUUCUAAUAAAAUGGUGACGAAUAUCAAUAUGUUUUGUCCUACUGUGCUGAAUAGGAUUUUUGGAAAUGUUUAUAGCACUCAGGUUGUCAUAGUACAAUGUCAUGAUAUCUUGUGUGACAUUGUAUUCAGUCAACAUUUGUUUCAUCCACACCAGUUGAGAGCAACUACUUCCAGUUGCUAUGUAUUCAGCUUCAGCAGUGGACAGAGACACACAAUUUUAUUUCUUACUAAACAAUGAUAUUAAGUUGUUCCCUAAGAAGAAGCAUCCUCCUGAUGUGCUUUUCCUAUCAUUAGCACUUCCAGCCCAAUCAGCAUCACAAUAUCCAGUCAGCACAGAUCCAGAUCCAUGAGUGUAUAGCAUCCCAUAGUCACUCGUGCCAUUGACAUAUUUCAGGAUCCUUUUCACUUGGUUUAUGUGACUCACCUUUGGUUCAGCUUGAUAUCUAGCACAAACACCUACAGCAAAAGCAAUGUCAGAUCUGCUUGCUGUGAGAUAUAGCAAACUCCCUAUCAUGCUUCUGUAGAGACUUUGAUCCACACUGACACCAUUUUCAUCUUUAGACACUUUCAGAUGAGUAGAAGCAGGUGUCCUUUUGUGACUUGCAUUCUCCAUGCCAAACUUCUUAACAAUAUUUUUGGCAUAUUUUCUUUGAGAUAGAAAGAUAGAAUCUUCCAUUUGCUUGACUUGUAGCACAAGAAAAUAGGUUAGUUCUCCAACAAGGCCCAUUUCAUAUUCAUACUGCAUUUGUUUAACAAAAUGUUCAACCAUCUUAUUUGACAUCCCACCAAACACAAUAUCAUCCACAUAUAUCUGAGCCACCAUGAGUUUUCCUCCUUCAUUUUUGACAAAUAAGGUCUUAUCAAUGCCUCCCUUCCUGUAUCCAUUGUCAAUGAGAAACACUGUGAGUCUAUCAUACCAAGCCCUAUGAGCUCUAUUUCAACCCAUAGAGGGCUUUCCUCAACUUAUACACAUGCUUUGGAAGAUUUGGCGUCUGUAAACCCUUUAGGUUGUUCAACAUACCUUCUCAUUUAGCAACCAUUCGAAGGCACUUUUCACAUCCAUUUGGAACAGUUUAACUUCAUAAUACAUGCCACUCGAGCAGUAAUCUAAUGUCUCCAGGCGAGCUACAUGGAAAAUGUUCAUCAAAGUCAACUCCUUCAACUUGAGUGUAUCUUGUUGCUACCAAUCUUGCUUUUUUAGUAACCACCCCUUGUUCAUCAGUUUUUCUUGUAAACCCACUUUGUUCAAUAACAUUUAUUCCUUCAGUCUUUAACCAAUUCCCAUACUUCAUUUCUCUUGAAUUGGCCUACUCUUCCUGCAUGGCAUUAAUCCACAAUUCAUCAGUUAAGGCUUCUUUUGACAUUCUUGGCUCAAUCUUGGACACAAAACAACCAUGUGAGAUCAUUCCCUUGAUCUGAUGGUGACCCCUUUAUUUGGGUCUCCUAUAAUGAGAUCUUUCGGAUGAUCCUUCUGAAUUCUGAUAGAGGGUCCCUUAUUAAUUUUAUCAGCUUCAGGUUCAGCUUGAGUGGGUUCACUCUCAUUGCUUUUUUCCAGGAGAUCAGCUGGGGCAUCAUUCAGAGAUGUUUCAAAAUCGUCUGUGACAUCAGUCUCUUGAUCAUCAACAACAACAUUGAUAGAUUCCAUCAUUACUUUUGUUCUGGAAUUAAAGACCCUAAAUGCUCUGCUGUUUGUUGAGUAACCCAGAAAUAUUCCUUCAUCACUCUUAGGGUCCAUUUUCCUUCUUUGUUCACGAUCAGUCAGAAUAUAACGUUUACUACCAAACACAUGGAAGUAUUUGACAGUAGGUCUUCUUCAUUUCCAGACUUCAUAUAAAGUAGUUGGGGUCCCUUUCUUCAAGGUUACUCUGUUGUGAACAUAGCAGGCAGUGUUCAUAGCUUCAGCCCAGAAGUGGUAAGGCAACUUCUUAACAUGAAUCAUAGCUCUGGCAGAUUCUUGGAGACUUCUAUUUUUCCUUUCUACCACACCAUUUUGCUGAGGGAUAAUGGGAGAUGAGAACUCAUGACUAAUUCCUUCAGAUGAACAGAAUCCAACAAAUUUACUGUUCUCAAAUUCUUUCCCAUGAUCACUUCUGAUUCUGAUAACCUGACUUUCUUUUUCUCUUUGAAAGUCUUAGGCAAAGAUCUUUGAACACCUCAAAUACAUCAGAUUUUUCCCUUAUAAAAUUUACCCAAGUGUAUCUGGAGAAGUCGUCCACCACCACAUAAGCAUAGCUUUUCCACCAAGACUUUCCACCUGCAUAGGUCCCAUCAAGUCCAUGUGGAGAAGUUCCAGCACUCUAGAUGUGGUGUCAUGUUUGAUCUUUGUGUGAACAUCUUCUUGUCUUUGCUUUCCAAUCUGACACUCACCACAAACUCUUCCUUCAUCAAUCUUUAAUUUUGGGAUUCCUCUGACAGCUUCAACAGAUAUAAUCCUCUUCAUUCCUUUAAGAUGCAGAUGGCCUAGUUUUUGAUGCCAUAGUUUCACUUAUUCUUCUUUGCCUAGAGUACACAUUGAUGAAUAACCAGUUUCUUGAGAACUCCACAUAUAGUAGUUGUCCUUAGACCUGACUCCUUUCAUGAUCACCUCAUUUUUUUAAUUAGUAAUCAAACAUUCAGUUUUUGUGAAGUUCACAUUUAUACCUUGGUCACACAGUUGACUGAUGCUGAUCAAGUUUGCAGUCAAUCCUUUAACAAGUAGCACAUUGUCAAGGUUAGGGACUCCAGGGCAGUUUAGCUUUCCAAUUCCCUUGAUUUCACCCUUUUCUCCAUCACCAAAGGUCACAUAGCUGGUGGCAUGAGGAUGAAGGUCAAUUAGCAGGUUUUUGCUUCCAGUCAUGUGUCUGGAGCAUCCACUGUCAAAAUACCAGUCUUCUUUGGCUGAAACUCUGAAGGAAGUGUAAGCUAUCAUGUUAGUAGCACCAGUCCUAGGAACCCAUUAUUUUCUGUUGACAGGGAUAUGGUGUUUGGGUCUAGGUUGAUGAUGAGUAGGACUAGGAUAGCCAUACAACUUAAAGCAUAAUGGUUUUAUGUGGCCAAAUUUUCCACAGUAAUGACAUCUCCAUCUUUGGUUUUUUCCUUUAUAUUGUCUUUCCUUGUGAUGUUGGGACACCUGAUGUGACAACUUUGGUUUGCUACCAGUGUGACUACACUCAGGAGUGGAUUCCUUGAACCCAAGGCCAGACUUGUCUCCUGCCAUCUUUCUAGUCUGGAGGAUUUUGUCUAAGGUGUCAGAUCCAUUGUUUAGCAUUCUGACAUACUUUGUCAUUUCAUCCAGUUUGGAGUUCAGGAACACGGCUUCGAUCUUCAACUUAGAAAUGGUUUCCAAGUGUUCUGUCUUCUCAUCCUCUAGUUGGGUUAUCAAUUUCUUCUGAUUCUCCACUUGUUGACAUACUUAUUCACUUUUGUAACACAACUUUCUAUAGGUAGUGGCUAAUUCAUCAAAGGUUACUUCAUCAUCACUUGAGUCUUCAUCAGAACCCCAUCUUCCAGUCAAGGCAGUCACAAGAUUGGUAGACUCUCCUUCUGUUUCACUUUCAUCAGACCAAGUAGCAGCGAGACUCUUUUUCUGUUUCUUGAGGUAGGUCCCACAUUCAGCUCUAAUGUGUCCAUACCAUUCACAUUCAUGGCACUGAACUCCUUUGCCUUGUUUGGAUUUUUCCUCAGAUUUUGUUCUUCUUCCAGUAUCAUUGGACCAUGUCAAAAUGAGUUGGUUCCUUGACAUAGAUUUGACCUUACAUCCAUCCUUUUCAGGAGUUUGUUGAACUGUCUCCCCAGUAAUGCUACAUCAUUUGCCAGAUCUUCAUCAGUAUCCUGACCACUUUCUUCCUCUUUCUCUUCAGUGUUUGACAUGAAGGCUAUGCUUUUGGCUUUCUUUUCAAAUCCAUCACUCAUCCCCAACUCAAAUGGUUGGAGGGAUCCAAUUAGCUCAUCCACUCUCAUAUUGCAGAUGUCUUGAGAUUCUUCUAUGGCUGUCACUUUCAUGGCAAAUCUCUUGGGAAGUGACCUGAGAAUUUUCCUCACAAGUUUUUCAUCUGGCAUCUUCUCACCCAGGGCUCCUAAGUCAUUAGCAAUUUCAAGGAUAUUCAUAUGGAAGUCAUGAAUACUUUCAUCUUCUUUUAUCCUCAAAUUCUCAAACUUCGUAGUAAGCAGUUGCAAUCUUGACAUUUUCACUCUAGAGGUACCAUCAUGAGUGGUUUUGAGAAUAUUCCAAGCAUCUUUAGCCACCUCACAGUUGUUCACCAGUCUGAAGAUGUUCUUAUCAAUCCCAUUGAAUAUAACAUUCAAUGCUUUAGAGUUUCCAAGAGCUAGUUCAUCCUCCUCCUUGGUACAUUCUUCCUCAGCCUUCUUAUCAGUUGUAACUUCUCCUUCCUUAGUAAUAACGGGAUGUUCCCAGCCUGUUAGAAUAGCCUUCCAAGCAUUAUUAUCCAAAGAUUUCAGGAAGGCUACCAUUCAAGGUUUACAGUAGUCAUAGUUAGAUCCAUCCAGAAUUGGUGGUCUGUGAACAGAUCCUCCGUCUCUAUCCAUAGUACCAGAAAGUAAUGUCCCAAGAUCUCACCCAGAACCAGAGCAAGAUGUUUGCUCUGAUACCAAUUGAAAUUCUGGUAUUAGAUAUGAGAUGUCGAAGGUAAUUUCACGACACUAAUAUCUGAACAACCACUAAAAUAUAAACAGGAUAAAAGACAAGGAAACAAUAGUACAAGUGACACAAGCAAUUGUUAACCCAGUUCGGUGCAAACUCACCUACGUCUGGGGGAUACCAAGCCAGGAAGGAAAUCCACUAAACAAAAUUAGUUCAAAGACUCUCAGUAAACAACUUCAAGUUAUAGUCUUUUCACCUAAUCUCUACCCGUGUGACUUCUAUAUAAGAACUGUUAGAUAAGAGACCCUACUCACUCCCCCUCAAUCAAAGCAGUGAUAUAAAAACAAAUAUUACAAAGAAAGAAAAGACACUCUUCAAGAACACAUACUUGAUCUUGCUUAAAAGCUUCAACCAAGUAAACACACACUCAUGCUUCAAAGCUUAGAGUGGACAAAUUACAACACAAAAGUCAGUCCAAUUCAAUGAUCAAUAGGAUGAAUGAAUGGCUCACAAUACACAAGCUCACACAAGACUAAAACCCUUAUUCUCUCUCACUAUUUCGUUCGUUUUCUUGUGUGUUAAAACCAGGUUUUACAUGGCCUUUAAAUAGAAAGGCUCACAAUACACAAGCUCACACAAGACUAAAACCCUUAUUCUCUCUCACUAUUUCGUUCGUUUUCUUGUGUGUUAAAACCAGGUUUUACAUGGCCUUUAAAUAGAAGCUUUUGAAUGGGCUUGGAUAUCAUAAAACCCUAAAUCUAUUUUCCUUUCGUAUCUUCUUAUUCACGACAGCUGAUCAUAUCUUUUUAGAAAAUAAAUCAAUCUGAUUUUAAUUCAAAUUACUCCUUGAAUGGCGCGUUCAAUCUCCACAUCAAUUACACACAGAUUUGCAUGAGAAGCUCAAUCUUAAGAUACAUAACAUUCAGACUAAAUGUUAUGUGUACACAUGUCUUAACAUCGGGUCUGACAUCUCAGUUAAAUCCUGCACAACCAUAUUUAAACAUACUAUAGGAAGCUGAUAUCACAUGUCAAGACAACAUGCGUGAGAACUUGUGAUAACUCUAGGUUUUAUCAAAAUUGAUGCCAACACAUAUAACUAACAAAGUUUCAUUCCACAGUAGUCCUUGAUUGCCUUGGUUUCGCUAGUCCUUGAUCAUUGGCGAUCCAAGUCUAUUUCACUUUCAAUGUCUUGACAAUUCACCCAUUGAUCUUUCGUUUGUUCAAUCAUGUCAUUCAUAGUACAUUCGAGUUUACUAAGCCUUGGUCAUGGUAUAUGGUUCGUUGGAUUUCUACAAUAGUCAUUUCCAUUAGUCCAUACAAUUCAUUACAUUCAAUCAAGUCUAUAGUUCAUAUCAAUUCAAUUUCAUUCAAUUCAAUACAAGUUCAACACAAAUGUCAUUUUCAUUCACAAUUUGUUCAUUUCAUUACAAGGAUUUCCAUGUUCGUGCAAAAAAUCACAAUUUGGCCAAAAUUUGCUACAAUUGACUUUUGGUCAACAAUUGACUUUUUGGUCAACCAGUUGACCAAAGUCAAAUGACCCUCCCUUGACCCCUAAGACGUAUUUCCAUAAAUUUUGCCUUGAUUCGUCACUAAAAUUCAUGUUUUCCUUUGAUUUCUUCUUGGCCAAGUAACUUGGUCCAUGACUUAGUCCAUGUCCAGGUCAGACCACUAAAUGGACCAGCCUGACCAUCACUUGAACCUGCAGCUUGCCAGUCAGACCACCAAUUGAACCUACAAGAAACCUCAAUCAACAAUACAUUUGCCAUAUAUAAACCCUGAUUCAUUACACUAUUCAAAAUCCCAUAAACAAAUUUCAUUCAUUUGCAUUAACAAUCCAAUUACAUUCAAAAUUCUAUUCUCAUACAUAAACCAUUGAUUUACCAUUCAUCUUCCAAUACAAUAUUUCAAUCCAAAUUACAAAUUACAACCACAAUAAAUACACAGUUUAAGUUCCAUCACAAAUCCAUUCCAUUUGAAGCAAAAGUUUAAUGCACCUCCCACACGACUAUGAUUCGUAGCAUAACACCACAAUUUAAAUACACAUUCCACAUGGCCCGUGACAGCCCUGCAAAUUCAUUUACCUACAAAAAUCCAAACGCAUAAUAACAUUCACCCUGCAACAAUUUUCAUAAUAGGGCAAAAACAAUUCAAUAUGUAAUUGCAUAACAUAGCAAACAUUGAUCAAUAACAAAAUGGAAUUCAACCAAACAAGGAUUUCAAUUAACUUCAUUCAUUUUCACUAACCAUUUCACUUCACACUAACAAAACUCUUCUAACAACUAACUUCCCUUCAACUAACGGAUUGACUCUACAUAACUAAUAACCUAACUGUUUUUAACAGUUAGUUAACAGUUAACAGACGCGUAACAAAAUUGCACAGAUGGAAACUAACAAACCUAACUGAUCCAACAUAAUAGACAUCCUAUAUAAGCUCCCAAAUCUCAUUGUAACUUGGAGUUUUUGGAAGCUACAAUUCAUUCCUCUCCAAAUUCUCAGGAUUUCAUUCUCUUACAUUGAAACGAUUCAUUCCUGCAAAAUUCUCUCCCUCACAUUUCCACUAUCCAGAAAUUCACAGAGAUCAUCACACUCACGAUUCUUCAAGAAAAAAGCACUAGAAGCAUUGAGAAGAAUUAUAAGGAGAAAGAAAGAGUUCAAGGGAAGAGGAUCUCGUACCUGACGCCGACUCCAUUCUGGUGAGUCUCCAUUUCAUUUCUUCAUUGUUUCGCAAUAUAGAAGUUACCAAUGUGUAGCUAUAGAUUGGGGGAGUCAAAGCCCUGACCUCUAUGGAUUUGACUAUGGACGAGCAUUGUUUAAUUUCAACUUGAAGACCUAGGGUCCUUACCUCUUUUGAUUCGAUUCGAGCAUAUCCGAUUGAAUUAGACGUAGAUAUAGUGAUUUCUGGAUUCAGUGUAGAAAACUGAUUUAGGAGAUAUGUUUAAUUGAGAUUCUAGAGGCGCCUCCACCACUGGAGAUGGCCUUUGGCGCGACGGAGGGAGAACGGAGAAGAGGGAGACACAUUUGAGAUAUUUUUUCUCUGAGUCUUUUAAGCAUGUGAAUCACGUGUUUUCUAAGCUUUGACUCAUUAAUAGAGCUGUCAAUUUAAGGGGCCAAUUAAUUUAGGCCCCAACCCCCAAAAUAAGAGGGCCUAAAAAAAUUAAAGAAUAGUAAGCCCUCAACCCUAAAGUUAGAUGGGCCCAAAAUUUAAAAGAGGGCCAUAAGGCCCCAAAUAAAAUAAAAAAACUUAAUUUUGAAAAACAAAAUAAAAUAAAUUCAAAAAAUAAAAAAACUUUAUUUUGAAAACCAGGAAUAGAUA